rnacentral:lncRNA from 1 species
UCUGAUUGAUUCCUUCAUUGCGCAACACGUCCUAACAUUCAUUCUCAUUCCUCUUUGGAAGCCGGGCACUGGACAAGAUUGUAGAGAAACACAGGAAGAGGCGCAGGGAUGAGGCCUUGGCCUGUGGUGCUGGCUUCAGUCUUGGAGCACUCACCUUUUUGCUUGGGGUCCAUAGGCUCGGUUUAAGGGAGAUGGCUCAAUGGUGAAUGACUGGAAUAUCUAUCCUGCACCGCAUGUUCUACUAUCUACUACUGCACCCGCAAGUUCUACUAUCUACUAGUGCUAUAUCCUGCACCGCAAGUUCUACUAUCUACUAGUACUAUAUAUAUCAUGCAUGUUUUAACUAGCCGGUGUACUCUGUAAUUCCUGGCUUGUGUGUUAUGUAAGAUCACUACUGUAUGUACAAUGGGGAUCCAGGUUCUGUGGGAUCUAAUUUCGGUGGUUGCAUGUGGGAUGUAAGGGCACUAUAUCGCCACUCUUAUCUGUUGUUAUCAGAGAUCUAUAUUCAGCCGUGUUGUUAAUCUGUUGUGGUGUUCUCAUGGUCUCAACCUUCGAGUAAUGAUUCGUAUGCAUUUUGCUCUAUGUUCUGUCUGAUUGCUUUGGCCGUGAAGUUUUGUGAAGGCCUCAUAUCUGUGACUUGUUAAUUCUUCUAGUUAGCUCACAUUUACCAGUAGUGGGGGAGCAAGAAUCCUACUGCCUCUGUUUCUAAAAGCAAGACGUUUUGGCAGUUCAAUUUAAACUGUCAAAACGUCUUGCAUUUUCACACAGAGGGAGUACCUAAUAAGCCCCUGCCAGCUCCAAGUGAAGCGGAGAAGCCUGUUCCCUUUGCAAUGUCGAUUGGCCUUUCUGUGCAAAGAGUUCUUCUUGUGCAAACCUUUUGGGCUGCAUUGGAGAAUGCUUUGGGAAAGAAGAGCACCAAUCCUGAGGUUAGCCCACUGUUGCCACUGGCAGAGCCAGGAAAAAUGAGUGAGAAGGCUGAGCAAAUCAUAUGGUUUGUGGAUGACGCAAAUGUCUAUCGUGACCAAUCAAUGGUGCAAUCUUUAUUCGUUUCUUCUUUUUUGCGAAAGAGUGCAAUCUUUAUAUUCAAUCCAAGGACUGGUCAACUAUUCCUGAAUGUUUGUUCAUUUCCUUUUUGCUUUGCUUUUAGUUCUAGUUUUGUUUAAUGGCAUAACUGUGGAGUUUGUUGCAUAUUUCUUGUAGUGAUGGAGGCGGGGAUAGUUAUGGAUAGGCCCUGCUUAAGUUGUUGGGUUAAAAUUUGAUAUUAGCAAUCGGAAUCAACGUGUGCAAUCCAUCUUCUUUCUGUUACCAGAGACACCAGCCAGAUGGCUUAGAGUCUCCUCAUGUUCUUAGCAAUAUAGUUAUUGUGAUUAAAUUAGCAAUAUAGUCUCAAUUGCUGGAAUUUCUAAAUGUUCUUCUAGAGUCUUGAUUUUGAGAUUUCGGAUAGAUAGAUAGAUGCCAAAGUUGGUUAAACCUUCUAUAUUUAGCUUCAGGUUUUGAACUGGAAAUACCAAACUGUACCAAUGAACACCACUCAUCCAAACAGGAUGAAGUACUUGUUUUUGGAAAUCAUCAUGUGGCAUCCAGUCCAGAAUCUCUCUGUUGACCUAGACAGACUCAAUAGAUGUUUUUAGAUGAAAUUAUCAAUGUCAUUUUAGUUUCAGCAGCCUGCAUUAGCUGCUCCCAUUUUUAACGAUUCAAACUCAACUGCAUGUAGGCACCGGCUAAUGCUGACCUCGACUGCUUUGGCCCAGAGUUUCGGUAAGGCACUAGACAUGCAAGAUUGUCAUCUGAUUGAUUCAUUCAUUGCGCAAUACAUCCUAACAUUCACUCUCCUUCCUCUUUGGGAGCAUAAAAGCACCGGAGAAGAUUAUAGAGCAACACAAGAAGAGGCGCAGGGACGAGGGCUUGGCCUGUGGUGCUGGCUUCAGUCUUGGAGCACUCACCUUUUUGCUUGGGGUCCGUCGAUUCGAUUGAACGGAUGGGUCAAUGCCUGGGAUAUCUAUCCUGCACCGCAUGUUCUACCAUCUACUACUAUAUCCUGCACCCAACGUUCUACUAUCUACUACUCCCUCCAUUCCACACUGUAGUGCGCCUGCGUUUCCCGAGAUCUACGUUUGACUGUAAAUUUAACCAACGAGACCGAUUGCGGCGGGAGCAAAAAUUAUAUCACUGAAUUCAUACCGAAAAUACGAAUUUAGUGGUAUAAUUUUUGCUAGUGUACUAUCUACUACUAUCCUGCAUGUUUAAUUAGCCAGUGUACUCUAUGAUUUUUGGCUCGUGUGUUAUGCAAGAUCACUGCUCUAUGUAUAAUGGGGAUCCAGGUUCCGCCGGAUCUAAUUUCGGUGGUUGCAUCUGGGGAUGUAAGAGCACUCUAUCGGGACAUUGAGUAUUUGAUCCCGAGCUCAUAUGCUUCACAUGAACAGUAAAAUGUACUCCCUCUGUCCCAAAAUAUAAGAACGUUUUUAACACUACACUAGUGUCAAAAACGUUCUUAUAUUAUGGGACGGAGGGAGUAAAAAAUAGUAAAAGAAUUCAAAAAAAAUCUGAUUUUUUUUUGUGAUGAACAUUGAUGAAUUUUCUAACUGCAUGCAAAAUUUCAGGUUGAAUGACAUUCGUGUAGGCCUGGGCCAAAAAAAUAAAAUCGAUGGUCCAAAAAGACUAUUGUUAGAAGCAUUUUGGAACAUCAAUUUUGUUAUUUUUGCCCAGACCUCCAUGAAUGUUAUUUUGACCUGAAAUUUUGCAUGCAGUUAGAACAAUCAUCACAAAAAAAUUCCGAUUUUUUUUAUUUUACUGUUCAUGCACGAGCAUAUGAGCUCAGGAUCAAAACAACACUUUUGCACUCUAUCGGCACUCAGAGAUCUAUACUGAGCCGUGUUAUUAAUCUGUUGUGGUAUUCUCCUGGUCUGAACAUUCGAGUAAUGAUUAUGAGGGAUCGUAUGCAUUUUGCUCUUUGUUCUGUAUGAUUGCUUCGGCUGUAAAGUGUUGCUAGGGUGCUACGAAGUCCAUGUAAGGGACUUGUUCAUUCUGCAGGUUAGCUUACACUAGUCAUCAACCGGCACGGGCCAGCUAUUUGAGUGCCUCUUAAAUGUUUAUACUAUUUGUAACAUGUUAACUUUUUUAGGAAUAUAAAUUUAUUCACAAUAAGUUUAGGAGUAUAUAAUUAAAAAUCAAGAUACAGAAUAUACACCAGUAAGAGUUAUUUAAGCUUCAAUCAAAAGUGAAACUUAUAGAAAUGAAUGAAUAGUGGUCAGCUUAAUGAAAAUGUUUCAUAUUAUAUAUAUAAACAAGGGAACACAAUUUAUUUUCUAAAAAGCGGAGCUUAUAUCUUAGCAGAUUAUCAACAACAAAUUUGCACUGAUCAUAGAUGCAGCCUUGUUUUCUGAACAAUAACUAAAAUCAUCAACAUUAAAAAUCCCAACUAUUGUGUUGUGGUUGGGGGAUCCUGCAACAUUAUAGAUGUAAUGCUUGCCAUUUAAAAUAAAAGGCACCGGUAUUGGUGUUCAAUAUAAAAAGUAGUGUAUGAAGUGGCCUAGAGAGAUUACAAAUUAAAUAUUUAUCAUCACUGAAUCCAAAGCCAUGUUUAUACUUUCCUCUCAAUCAGGAUUUCACAUUGAAUAUUUGUACAUCUUUUUAAUAUAUUUUAUCAUUUUUUCCUUUUUUUGGUUCACAGCCCUUCUUGACAAUAUAAAUAAAUGUAAAUUUGACCAAUUGAACUGAAUAUAUAAGUCAAUCAUUUAUAGAACAAUGCAAUAGAAAAAAGUAUCAUUUGCAAAAUGUUCUCUCAUUACAAGGUGGAGGUGCAGGAAUCGACAAGGCGUACGAGCGGCGGCAGAUAUGAAAUAAUGUGGGAGCGGCAUGCCGACCUCCCAGGCAUAAUAGCCAACGCUUGGGCAAAGAGGAAAUCUGAGGACUUAGGAGAUGUAGAGAAGAACCUAAAGAAUAUGAUGGAGUUACCUGAGUAGAGUAAACAACAUUUUGGUCAAGUAUCUAAAUAGAUAGAAGGCCUUAGAGCCGAGUUGGAGGCCCUGCAGUUGCAAAGGGCUGAAAGAUCAUUGAUCCAGGAAAAGAUGUUUGUCCUGGACGAGUUAUUGUACCGGGAAGAGAUGAUGUGGCUUUAGAGAUCCCGCAUAAGUUGGCUAAUGGAGGGUGAUCGCAAUACACAAUACUUUCAUAGGAAGGCAGUGUGGCGAGCCAGGAAAAAAAUUAUUCGUCAACUUCGUAAGGCCGACGACACUUGGGUGGACACACCUACUGAUAUGGAGCAUGUGGUGCAAUCAAUAUUUCGAGGAGCUAUUCACAAAUGAUCCAAUACUAUCAUCGGAUGAAUUGUUAGAGUGCAUCAAAACAAAAGUUACACAGAAGAUGAAUGAUGUUCUCAAUGCGCCGUUUACAGAGAAGGAAGUGGCUGAUGCAUUGUUUCAAAUAGGACCCAUAAAGGCCCCAGGUCUAGAUGGAUUCCCAGCUAGUUCUUUUCAAUGUAAUUGGCAAGUUUUGAAGGAGGAAGUGACACGAGCUGUGCUAAUUUUUUUUGCUAAUGGACAUAUGCCAUAAGGAGUUAACGAUACCGCAAUUGUUCUUAUUCCCAAGGUCCCCACCCUUGUGGACCCGAAGGAAUUUAGGCCAAUCAGCUUAUGCAAUGUAAUUUACAAGGUGGUGUCCAAAUGCACGGUUAAUCGACUCCGUCCCUUGUUGAUGGAGCUGAUAUCAAAAAAAUCAAAGCUCUUUCAUCCCGUGGCGUUUGAUUACGGAUAAUACUAUUAUUGCCUUCGAAUGCAUACCUCAUAUCCAAUUAGUUAAGGAGGAGCAAUCUUAUUGUCCUUAUAAACAGGAUUUUUCAAAGGCGUAUGACCGAGUGGAUUGGGACUUUCUAGAGAACGCUCUAGUCAAAGGGGCUUGUUAACAGAGUGGGUGAAGUGAAUUAUGGCUUGUAUUCGUUUGGUCAAAUAUUUAGUUAAACUUAAUGGGAGAUUGUUGUAUAAAUUGUCCCCCACCCGCGGCCUCUGACAAGGUGAUCCAUUAUCCCCUUUUUUAUUUCUAUUUGUGGCUUAUGCUUUGUCUGCACUGUUGCAUAAGGCUAUAUGGGAGGAGGGUUUGGAGGCACUAAAUAUUUGUAGAAGGGCUCCCGAGAUCUCAGACUUAUUAUUCGUGGAUGAUACUUUGUUAUUUUUUCACGCGAGACCAGAUAAAGCGGCGAUUGUCAAAAAAGUGUUGAACACACAUACUAAACCGACAUGGCAACUUAUCGACCAGUCCAAGUGUUCAAUCUUGUAGAAAAGAUAUGGGACGCAACUCAAUUGUAUUCCUCGGAGUAGGUCACAAUAUAUACAUGAGAUGUCUUGCGUGACAAGCCAAUUAAUCCUACCAUAUCUCUACAAGUCAACUAUACAAGGCUAGAGACUACAGAAAGAUUAACUGUAUGUAAAUACAUAUAUGUCACAUUCAACACCCCCCGUCCCCCGCAGUCAAAGCGUCGGCUAUGCAAAGACCGGAACGUAACUCCUGGAAUGCAGUGACCAUAUCCAAUCUAGACACUGUCAUGGAGGGGUUCACCACUUCCAUUGGUGCCUCUCCUAUGAUGCGUGAGUAGUUCUUUGUAGACCUACGGGUCCGUAGUUAGUAGCUAGAUGGAUCUCUCUCUCUCUCUCUCUCUCUCUCUCUCUCUUGAUUAUCAAUACAAUGGUCUCUUGGAGAUCCAUAUGAUGUAAGUCUUUUUGCGGUGUGUUUGUUGGGAUCCGAUGAACUUUGAGUUUAUGAUCAGAUCUAUGUUUUUAUCCAUGAAAGUUAUUUGUGUCUUCUUUGAUCUCUUAUAUGCAUGAUUGCUUAUAGCCUCAUAUUUCUUCUCUGAUAUUUGGGUUUUGUUUGGCCAACUUGAUCUAUUUAUCUUGCAAUGGGAAGAGGUGCUUUGGAGUGGGUCCGAUCUUACUGUGCUUGAUCCCAGUGACAGAAGGGGAACCGACACGUAUGUAUCAUUGCUACUAAUUAAGGAUAACAAGAUGAGAUCUAUAUCUCCGCAAUAGAUAAAUGGAUCUCGUCUACAUCAUGUCAUCGUUCUUAUUGCAUUACUUCAUUUUCUCAUGAACUUAAUACACUAGAUGCAUCCUGAUAGCGGUCGAUGUGUGGAGUAAUAGUAGUAGAUGCAGGCAUGAGUCGGUCUAUUAAUCUUGGACGUGAUGCCUAUAUAAUGAUCAUUGCCUGGAUAUCGUCAUGAUUAUUUGAAGUUCUAUCAAUUGCCCAACAGUAAUUGUUUUCCCACUGUUUCCUAUUUUUCUCGAGAGAAGCCACUAGUGAAACCUACGGCCCCCGGGUCUCUUUUCAUCAUAUUUGCCUUUGCGAUCUAUUUUCCCUUGCAUUUAUUUUCAGAUCUAUUAAACCAAAAAAUACAAAAAUACCUUGCUGCAAUUUAUUUGUUCCGCGAUCUAUUUAUCCUAUCUACCACUUUCACCUCAUGUUAUUUGCCUAUCUUGAGGCGCCGUACCCGGAAGGGAUUGACAACCCCUUCAACACGUCGGGUUGCGAGUAUUUGUUAUUUUUGUGCAGGUGAUGUUUACAUUGUGUGGGGAGGUUCUCCUACUGGUUCGAUAACCUUGGACUCAUCACUAAGGGAAAUACCUACCAUCGAUGUACUGCAUCAUCCCUUCCUAUUUGGGGAAAUACCGACGUAGUUCUAGCAGACAUCACUCUAGUGCAUCCGUUGCAUGGCAAUCCCUACUCACUCACAUUGACAUCCAUUGAUGGGCAUCUGUAGGACCUUGAAGUAUGUCUAGAGGGGGGGGGGUGAUUAGACUACUUGACCAAUUAAAAACUUAACCUUUUCCCAAUUUUAGAGUUUGGCAGACUUUAGCUAUCUUAGGACAAGUCAAGCAAUCAUCACACAGUUCAAGCAAGCAUGCAAAGAUUAUAUAGGCAGCGGGAAUUAAAGCAUGCAACUUGCAAGAAAGUAAAGGGAAGGGUUUGGAGGAUUCAAACGCAGUUGGAGACACGGAUGUUUUUGGUGUGGUCCGAUAGGUGGUGCUAUCGUACAUCCACGUUGAUGGAGACUUCAACCCACGAAGGGUAACUGUUGCGGGAGUCCACGGAGGGCUCUACCCAAGAAGGGUCCACGAAGAAGCAACCUUGUCUAUCGCACCAUGGCCGUCGCCCACGAAGGACUUGCCUCACUAGCGGUAUAUCUUCACGAAGUAGGCAAUCUCCUUGCCCUUACAAACUCCUUGGUUCAACUCCACAAUCUUGUCGGAGGCUCCCAAGUGACACCUAGCCAAUCUAGGAGACACCACUCUCCAAGAAGUAACAAAUGGUGCGUUGAUGAUGAAAUCCUCGCUCUUGUGCUUCAAAUGAUAGUCUCCCCAACACUCAACUCUCUCUCUCAUAGGAUUUGGAUCUGGUGGAAAGAAGAUUUGAGUGGAAAGCAACUUGGGGAAGGCUAGAGAUCAAGAUUCAUAUGGUAGGAAUGGAAUAUCUUGGCCUCACCACAUGAGUAGGUGGUUCUCUCUCAGAAAUGGUAAGUUGGAAGUGUAGGUUUAGUCUGAUGGCUCUCUUCACGAAUGAAGAGGAGGUGGAGGGGUAUAUAUAGCCUGCACACAAAAUCUAACCGUUACACACAAUUUACCAAACUUGGUGGGACCGAUUCAACAGACUCGGUCGGACCGAUUUAGUAAACCUAGUGACCGUUAGUGAUUUUCGGUGGGACUGACAUGAAACUCGGUAAGACUGAUUCGGUUAAGUUUAGGGCAUAACGUAAUCUCGGUAAGACCGAUUACACAAACUCGGGGAGACCGGUUUUGGUAAUAAGCUUUCCAGAGAGUUGGUCAGGUAAACUCGGUGGGACCGAUUUGCUCUUUUCAGUGAGACCGAAAUGUUACAAAAGGGAAACAGAGAGUUUACAUUGCAAUCUCGGUGGGACCGAUUGCUCACUUCGGUUUGACCAAAACGUUAUGAAGGGAAACCGAGAGAUUACAAUCCCAUCUCGGUGAGACCGAGAUCCCUAUCGGUAGAACCGAUUUUCCUAGGGUUUGUGGCAGUGGCUAUGACAUUUGAAAUCGGUGGUGCCGGAUAGGAAGAAUCAAUGUGACCAAUUUUCGCUUUGGGUUUAGGUCAUUUGUGGAUGUGAGAAAGUAGUUGAGGGUUUUGGAGCAUAUCACUAAGCACAUGAAGCAAGAGGCUCAUUAAGCAACACCUCAUCCCUCCUAGAUAGUAUUGGCUUUUCCUAUAGACUCAAUGUGAUCUUGGAUCACUAAAAUAUAAAAUGAAGAGUCUUGAGCUAUUGAGCUUGAGCCAAUCCUUUGUACUUAGUAUUUUGAGGGAUCCACUUUCAUCAUCCAUGCCAUGCCAUUCAUUGAGCUUUCCUGAAAUAAUAGUCUUGAAAUAGCAUUAGCUCAAUGAGCUAUAUGUUGUUAUGAAUUACCAAAACCACCUAGGGAUAGUUGCACUUUCAAUCUCCCCCUUUUUGGUAAUUGAUGACAACAUAUAGAUCAAAGCUUCGACAAAUGAUAAUAAGAUUGAAAAACAUCGUCGCUUUGAGAAGUAUGUGAUAAGCAAGAGCUCCCCCUAAUUUGUGCAUAGUUUAAGAUUUGCUUUGGACUGCAAAUGCACAAGGAAUUAGGCUCAUGGGUUACUCUUCCAUGUCACAUACAUCUUGGUGGAGCGCUCAAAAUGAUAAAGAUUGAAUACAUGCACUCAUCACCAAGCAAAGUGAAUGAUCAUAUAGGAUAGAUAAGAUAAUAUCAUCAAACAUGCAUAAGUGUAGCUUAAGAUCAAUCACAUGAUCAUCAAUAUGUCACAAGAAUAGCAUAGUAUCUCAAGCAAUCAAAAGCAAACAAGUUUAAAACCACUAAGGCAAGAGAGAACAAAAACAACACUCUCUCUCUCGAAGCCUAUGAUCUAUACAUUUUUCUCCCCCUUUGGCAACAAGUUACCAAAAAGUUCAUAGAAAAUGCAUAGUGCUAGAUCGACUCUCAGGCUUGAUCUUCAGUUGGUGGUGUAGAGAUGGCUCCUUGGACGAUGGCUUCAGUUGAUGUAGAGGGAGCUGGAGGAGUUGGUGCUGGAGCUGGUUGCACUAGAGCUGUAGGAGUUGUGGCUGGUGCAGAUGAUGUUGCUCUAGUGUCUGACACUGGCACUGCAGCUGACCUCUGAGCUCUAGGCACUCUGGGAAAUACAUUAGUGGUAGUCUUGCCCUUCCUCUCCUGCAUGUCAUCCUACAGCUGCUCCACAACUGACUGAAUCUCAGUUACCUUGACAUCAAGAUCAUAGAAUUUUUGUUCCAUGAUUCUUUCCAAGCUCUCCUGAUUCUGAGUUAAGGUGGCCAACCCCUUCUCAAUCCUUAGUGUUGAUGCUAUCAAGUAACCAAGCUACUCCUGCUUGUUCUUCAAGAAAUACUCAGAUGCCUCCUCUUGAGUUGGCAUCUUGACAGCCUUCUCCUUCCUUGCCUUCUCCUUCUUCUCUUAAGCUUGAACUGAUGAUGGAUCAUCCUCAUUCAUGACAACCUCAUUGUCCUCAAAGUCUGGAUAGAGAGGAAAAUGUUCCCUAUCCAAUAGAUAUUUGCCUGUGCCCAUCUUUGAGUUAAUCAACUCCUGAAUCUGCGGGGCAUAUCCACAACUCCUCUUAUGAUCUGCUGCAGUCCUCUUAAUGGUUUCUACUAUAAGACUCAUGACCUUGAAUUUCUGAGGCACAUCAAACAAAUGCAACAUGUUGAUUGCAUGCCCUCUGAUCAUGUUGUGGUCACCUGACUUAGGCAAUAGAGUGUGCCUUAGGAUCCAGUUGAUUGUAGGAAGCCCUGACAGAAGAAAGUGGACUGAUCCAAAAGAGAAAGUCUCUAGGGCUUUGUCUGGGAUCUCCUUGUACAUAUGUGCCAUGGUAUUAUGUCCCAUUUUCUUCUUGGCAUAUACAUCCAGAUCAUCAUCAUUUUCCUUUGGGGCAUUUAUCAGUUUUGCCCACUCCUCAAUAGUUAACUGGUACCUUGUACCUUCAGACAUCCAAACUAUCCUCCCAUCUGGAUAGAAGUGUGCUGUGGAGUAGAAUUGCAUGAUAAGUUCAUCAUUCCAGUUGGUGAGCUUCUGCCCAACAAAAUCUGCAACUCCACAAGCAACAAAACUGUCUUGUACUCCUGGAUAGUGUUCUUCAUUUUCCUUCAUGUAGGUCCAGUUGACCCACCUCAUAUCACACACAAUGGGCUUUUUGUCCAACAAGAUUGUCUCAUAGAAGUCCUGUUGUUCCUUUGUAUGGAACCUGUAAUCAANNNNNNNNNNNNNNNNNNNNNNNNNNNNNNNNNNNNNNNNNNNNNNNNNNNNNNNNNNNNNNNNNNNNNNNNNNNNNNNNNNNNNNNNNNNNNNNNNNNNUCCCUCCCCUUCCUCCGCGCCCUCCACCUCCCCUCCGCCCUCCUCCCCGCCAUCAGCCCCGCCCCCAAGUCUGAAGCUCCCCGCCUCCCCAUUGUCCUAGCACCCACGGCAACGACACGAGGCCUCGCGCCCCCGCACCACCGCAGCCCCGUCGUCUCUGCUCCGGCUUCAGGCCUCCUCCCCUCUCUAUCAUCGCUCUCCCCAAAGGACCACUUCGCGCCCCUAAGCAACUGUAUGUUCUGCGGGUGCAGCGUCACCCCCGCGGCACACCGUCUCAUGCCGGUUCUCAGCCCUUCCUCAGUUUCCCUCCAUGUCUCCAUUCACGGCUGCAUCCACUCAUUUCAACCAAGACUCUUCUCUCACACCAAUGUGUUUUCAUACUGAUAUGGCAGGUUAGCAGCUGACGAGAGGAGGCUGGGAGCAUCAGUACAGCAACCAAUUCGCGGCAGGUGAAAGGUGAAUUUUCUUAUGAUAUUUGUAACUGCACUAAAGUAGCCUAGGCAUUACCGCUAUGAAGUACGGAAUACGAUUUUUUCUUUAAUUGUCAUUACUAUUGGACUUUAUGUUAUAUAUAUAUAUAUAUAUAUAUAUAUAUAUAUAUAUAUAUAUAUAUAUAUAUAUAUAUAUAUAUANNNNNNNNNNAUCUUUUUUUUGUAACUCCGUGUACCCAAAUCAUAAAUUUGCCCCCGCCAAUAUGUUGUUUUGUAAUCUUCAAUGUAAGUGUGUUAAAUAGUUGGUGGGAAUUUUUGGAAUAAAUUUGGUCUGUAUAAGUUUGCGCUGGAGUACAUGCUGGACGUACUCCAUUUCGGGAUCUGCCACUGUUGGUGGAUGAAUGUAGAAAUUAUUAUACAUCUGGUAUAAUACCAUCAAAAAAUGUUGUGUUAGCGCUGAACUUCAAUUUUACAGUGUACACGGUGCUGAUGUAUGUAUCACAUUUAAGUAUGUUUGAAGUUCUUUAUAUAUAUCCCAUUUCGGAUGUUACUUCCUUGCAUGUACUGUGUUUGCUACGUAGUGAAGGUAGAAAUAAGUGAAAUUAUAGGUUGAUCUGAGUUUCAAAGUAAUUAUAACAUCGGUAGUAAGUAAUUAUAACAACAGCGGUUUGGUCUUCUUAGGUAUACCAUUGUUGAAUAGCAAAGUUGUAGUUUAGUGCAAUUGUACGUUGUGAGCCCUCCAAGUAUUCUGUUUUAUUUGCCAAAAAAAUAUGCUGCUUCUUUAGUCUGAAGAUUUACUAUGGGAUGUGUUGUUGGCCAAAAAGUUUUUAGCAUCAGGUCAAUCCAUUUGGUGGCUUCCCUAGCUAGAGAUGAUAGUAAUUCUUGACAGCACAGCCAAAAAAUUCAUGUAGUAUAAGUAUUGCCUCGUCAAAGUGGUAAGCAGAGAUGAUAGUAAUUCUUGUCGACGAGGAUUUCUAAAGGUCAAACAUAGUAAUCUUUGACCAAGUUUAUAGAGAAAAUCAUUUAUAUCUGCAUUAAGAAGCAUAUACAGUAUGAAAAUAUAUCUCAUGAUGUAUCUAUUGAUAUACACUUGGUAUUCUAAAAUUCUAAUGAGUCAAUCUCAAGGGCCACCACAGCAGAACACAAUUUAGUUGGAUUAUACCUAAUGCAGCAGGAGAGCAUCACUGACCUGUCUAGCUUGAACAUUGCAUUGAAGUGAUUUUUGGUGUCAAAUCACUCAAGCAGUAACUGAAUUUUCAAACUAAACUUGACACAAUACUAUUCAGUUAAUUUGCUUCGACAGUAGUGUGUAUGCUCAUCACUUUAUGUAUGGUGUUAUGCCCUGUUAUCUCUGUUUAGUUAUUUUCCUAUUUCUAACUCUGAAUCUGAUAUAAACCAUAUGGUUGGCAUAAGUGGUAUUUUGUAUAUGUGCUGAUGCUUUGUUAAUAUAAAGCUAUAGAUGAUGUUGUACUUGUGAUGAUGCUACUUGUGAUCUUCUGAAAUGACCCAUUGGCGACUUCAUUACACGGGGAUAAUGAUAUUGCAGGUACCCCGAGAGGCCCUUGAGUUUUCCGGAAUGUCGAUUAACUUUCAUUCCGGCAAACUCGGGUACUCCAUAUGUCCUAUUUUCAGCAAAGGUAAUGCUGAAAUUUUCCGUGAAUUUUAGCACGACUUUGCUAAAAAUAGGACAUAUGUGGUACUUGCGACUAAUGCCUGUUAUCAUGCAUGUUUUAUGAUCUGUUGUAAGGGUACUAAUUGGUCUCUUCUGCUGCUUAUCAGAGAUGGCGGGAAGUAGCCACCGCCGCUCUGCGACACCGCAGUAUGAGUUGGAUGCUUCCGAGUUCUUCACUAUCAUACUUGAGACUUCAAUAUCAUCCAUGAUGCAGGUAUAUAAAACGAGAGAUCUCCCCUUCACCCAUCUCAUUAUGAUAUCUGUUGUUUGCUACAUCACUCAUUGUCCCAAACUACAGAGGCUGCCUGACAGUUUUAUGAACAUGCUGGUGGGUGAAGAUCCGCCAAAUAAUGUGAAGCUGCGACGGGCCGGCAACGGGUUUUGCAGGCAGUGGGAUGUGGAGUUGGUGAUCAAGGAGGGCCACAUGUACCUGUCUCGUGGGUGGGAGAAGUUCUAUCGUGCCUACGACCUGCGCCUGGGGUACUUCCUUCUCUUCAGGUACGACGACGACGCCAUCAUGCUCAUCGUGAAGGUGUUCAACACGACUAUGUGUCGCAUGCGCUACGCUGACGAUGAUGAUGCCGGUACGUUCUGCCUCUUCUCAUUCCUCUACAUUUGGCUUUGUCUCACAACGAUUGUUAACAGUCAUUGUUGCAUUUUGGACAGGUAAUGGGAGCAGCACCAGCGACACUGGCUACAUCCAAAGCAGCAGCGACUAUGGCUGUAGCGAAAGCAGCAGCGAUUCUGGCUGUAGAGAAAGCAGCAGUGAUUCUGGCAGCAGCAUAGACAACAAGAAGGAUGAUCCGGACUGGAGUGCGGGAGAAGAGGAGUAGAGUGGGGAUGAGGAGCUGCAGGAUGACGAUGGGCAUCAGGCUGAGGAUGACCUAGCGCUGGUGGUGGCUGACCAAGGGCAAGAGAUGGUGGUGGCUGACCAUGGGCAAGAGAUGGAGGUGGCUGAGGAUGACCUAGCGAUGGUCGUGCCUGAAGGUGGCCUCGCAAUGGUGGUGGUGCCUGACAAUGACCACGCACCGGUGCUGGCGCCGGCGAUCGCACAGCUGGGCGACAUGACCACGCCAAUUGUGGUAGAAGACUACAUCCCAAUGCCUCCACCGCCUCCACCGCCUCGCCCCUCUUGGUGCAUUUGGCUGAGGAAGGAGAAGGAGAAGGAGAAGAACAAUGCAUGAGAACUGAACUUCGUCAGGUAUGUCAGAUCUCCUAUAGGUUAGUUAUCCAAAAUGAUAUAUAUAUACUUAGCUACCUAUGUUAUCUCUAAUAUGCUUAGUUUCCUAUAGGUUAGCUUCAUUUUUACCUAAGUUGGCUCUAAUAUGCUAACUUAGAGCUUAUAUGCUUAGUUUCCUAUAGGUUAGCUGCAAAAUAACUUAUGGUAGCACAAAAUGAUCAAGUUUACAUAAUAAGCUUAUAGUCUUUUUCUUAUUCUUCUUCUUUUCCAAAAUGACAUAGGUUAGCUUCAUUUUACCUAAGUUGGCUCUAAUAUACUAACUUAGAGCUUAUAUGCUUAGUUUCCUAUAGGUUAGCUCCAAAAUAACUUAUGUUAGCACAAAAUGAUCAAGUUUACGUAAUAAGCUUAUAGUCUUCUUCUUAUUCUUCUUCUUUUCCAAAAUUCUUCUUAUUCUUCUUCUAGUGUUCUUCUUCUUCUAGUAUUCUUCUAGUCUUCUUCUUUUUCUUCUUCUAACUUCUUGUUUAUCAUUUUGCAGAUUUGAUUUAAUUCACGGAAGCUUGCAUGGAUGUAGUGCUUAUUUUCCAAUUGUGUUUUUAUUUUGUACCAAUGUGAAACUUUUGUGAAUUGAUGGAUAACGGUGUUGGAUGAACAAUGUGAAACUUUUGUAAUAUGUAACGAUGGAACUAUGUGUUCGCUAUGUAUGUAUAUAUGAUGGAACUUGUGUGUUGCUAUGUAUGUAUAUAUGAUGGAACUUGUGUGUUGGCUAUGUAUGUAUAUAUGAUGGAACUUGUGUGUUGGCUAUGAUUGUUAUAUGGAUGCUUGUUGUAUAUAUAUGUGUUGGAUAUCUCAUAGGUGAAAUAGUGACCUGAGAUUAUGAAAAAAAAUAAAAAAAAUUGUUACUAAUAGCGCACUACCAUGUGGUGCGCCAUUAGUAUAGAAGACACUAGUGGCGCACUGUGGACAAAACUAAUGGCGCACUGCAUGGUGCGCCAUUAGUAUACCAGAUACUAAUGGCGCACCAGUGAUACUAAUGGCGCACCAGUGGUGCGCCAUUAGUAAAAAAUACUAGUGGCGUGAUACUAAUGGCGCACCGGUAGUGCGUCAUUAGUAGGAAAAACCGGUGCGCCAUUAGUAGGCCUUUUCCUAGUAGUGUACCACGCUUUGUUAGGGCGAGAAGCAUUCACAAUUUUUCAAGCUAUACCCCAUUACGGGUACAUGAUGCUCAAAAUGCCCGGAACCAACGGAAUUAUCACUCUUGCUAGUGACCCGGACACAGCGCUCCGUGGAACUAACUAUGUUGCGCUCCACGGUGGACAGGGACGACGUGAUACUCGACAAAAGAUCCAAGUCCACCUCCUUCAAGCCGGCAGACGAAAUAGUCAAGUUCCAAGUCCAUCCAACGGACACCACAAAAAGCGGCCUCCAUCGGGGCACAACUAAAACCUCAUGUAGACGCCGCACUCAGAGAAUUCCUAUGAGAAAGUUGGGACAUUUUCGCCUGGCACCCUUCAGACAUGCCAAGAAUCCCACGCAGGCUGGCCGAGCACAGCCUGAACAUCCUAAAAGGGUUCAAGCCCGUUAAGCAGACUCUUCGGUGUUUCUCCGAACCCAAGAGACAAGCCAUGGGAGAGUAGCUAGCAAAACUACUGGAAGCCGGAUUCAUCAGAGAUAUAAAACAUCCGGACUGGCUAGCAAACCAGGUGAUGGUACCAAAGAAGGACAAAUCCUGGUGCCUAUGCGUCAAUUUCAAAGAUCUAAAUAAGGCCUACCCAAAGGAUCGCUUCCUCCUCCCCUGAAUUGAUCAAAUCAUCGACGCCACUGCAGGACACGAUUCAUUGUGUUUCCUCGAUGCAUACUCUGGCUACCACCAAAUCAAGAUGGCAGAGUCAGACCAAGCCGCAACGGCAUUCAUCACCCCAUACGGCCCAUUCUGCUUCAACAUGAUGCCCUUCGGGCUCAAAAACACCAGCGCGACAUGUCUGGCCAACCAGAUCAGCAAAACAGUUGAAGCGUACGUAGAUGACGUGGUGAUCAAAUCCAAGCAUGUCGAAACUCUAGUAGACGACUUGAGUCUCACGUUCGACAAUCUCCGAGCAUAUGACAUUAAGCUCAACACAGAAAAAUGCGUUUUCGGCAUACCAGCCGGAAAGCUCUUGGGCUUCAUCGUAUCCGGUAGAGGAAUUGAGGCAAACCCAGCCAAGAUCCGAGCUCUAUCACAAUUGGAUAUCCCAAAAGACCUCAAGCAAAUACAAAAAUUAACUGGAUGCGUGGCGGCUCUAAGCCGCUUUAUCUCCCGCUUAGGGGAAAGGCAUUACCCCUUUAUCGCCACCUGUGGCGAACCGAACACUUCGAGUGGAUGGAUGCCGCCACGGCUGGACUCGAAGAAAUCAAAGCCAUACUGGCAACAAAUCCGGUCCUGUUCGUGCCCAACACGGGCGAACCAAUGCUAUUAUACAUCACGGCAACCCAUCAAGUUGUAAGCGCGGUGCUCGUUGUCGAACGAGAAACAGACAGACACAAGUUCCCUCUGCAAAAACCAGUUUACUACGUGUCCACUGUCCUAACUCCAUGCAAGUCACGGUACCCACAUUAUGAACACAUAGCAUAUGCGUUGUUCAUGGCAUCCCAGAAGCUGCGACACUUUUUCCAAGAGUGUUCGACACCAGUGGCAUCUGAAGUACCCCUUGAUGACAUUAUAAACAACCGCGACGCAACGGGCCGGAUUGCCAAAUGGGCCAUUGAGAUCCUCCCGUUUGAUAUAACCUACAAGCCACGGCGAGCUAUCAAAUCACAGGUUUUGGCUAACUUCAUCGCCGAAUGGACCGAAGCCGAGCUCCCUAAAGAGUAUGGCGCAUAUUCCAACUGGAUCAUGCACUUCGAUGGCUCCGAAAUGUUGGCCGGCCUGGGGGCUGGCAUCGUUCUGACGUCCCCAACAGGAGAUACAGUCCAAUACGUACUUCAGAUAAUUUACACGGACUCCAACAACUCAGCCGAAUACGAGGCCCUUCUACAUGGUCUCCGGAUGGCAGUUUCCAUGGGCAUUCAGCGCCUAGAGGUCCGCGGGGAUUUAAACCUCGUGGUAUCCCAAAUAAAUGGAGACUUUGAUGCCAAGGAUCCGAAAAUGGCAUCUUAUCGCAACGCCGUCUUAAAGAUGUCAGCUCGGUUUCAGGGGCUCGAAUUUCACCAUAUAGCCCGGGAGAACAACCAGGCAGCAGACGUGUUGGCACGCAUCGGCGCAAAACGCGAGGCUGUCCCUCCCAACAUCUUCCUAGAGAGGCUUUUCAAGCCAUCCGUAUCCUAGGAAGGAGAGUCUGGAAACAACAGCCCGGACACAACCACACUACCCCUCACUGAACAUUCUGACACAGUUGGUGGCUCCGCCAACGAAACAACGCCGUCAGCCCACACAAUAAUGGCAGUCAUUGCCCCGUGGAUGGAACCAUUCCUAGCCUACCUAACUAGGCAGGAACUUCCCGAGGACCAAAACGAGGCCCGCUGCAUAGUGCGGCGAUCUAAAGCCUAUAAAGUCCACGAGGGAGAGCUUUAUAAGAAAAGCACAACCGGAGUCCUUCAGAGGUGUAUCUCCGAAGAAGAAGGGAAAAAUCUUCUGGCUGAAAUUCACGCCGGACUCGGCGGGCACCACGCAGUAGCUCGGGCCCUCGUAAGCAAGGCCUUCCGUACCGAAUUUUACUGGCCGACGGCUCGGGAAGACGCUCAAGACUUAGUGCAGCGAUGUGUCGGUUGCCAAUUAUUCGCUAAUCAAAACCACAUGUCGCCUACCGCCCUUCAAACUAUACCCAUUACCUGGCCUUUUGCGGUCUGGGGGCUUGACAUGGUUGGACCCCUUAAAGGAGGAACCCACAAGAAAAAAUAUCUACUGGUCAUGGUGGACAAAUUCACCAAAUGGAUAGAGGCCAAGCCUGUAAAGACGGACGAAUCCGGACCGGUGAUAGAGUUCAUAUCCGGGAUUGUACACCGUUACAGCGUCCCCCACAGCAUCAUCACUGACAACGACACAAACUUUACGACCCGAUGAAGUUAAACUCUGGUAGAAAAACAUGGGCAUCAAGAUCGACUACGCUUCAGUCUAUCACCCACAAACUAACGGUCAAGUCGAACGAGCGAACGGUCUCAUCAUGAGUGGCGUCAAACCCAGACUAGUGCGAUCCCUCAAGGAAUCUAACACGCACUGGGUAGAGGAGCUUGACUCCGUACUCUGGUGGCUACGGACCACGCCGAAUCGCACUACCGGAUUCACACCAUUUUUAUGGUAUACGGCGCAGAGGCAGUCCUGCCCUGCGACAUAAUUCAUGACUCACCUCGCGUGCGCAUGUACGAAGAAAGAGAAGCCGAGCUCGAUCGGCAGGACAGCUUGGACGCAUUGGAGGAGGAGCGUGACGUGGCAAAAGCUCGUUCCGCAUUUUAUCAACAGCAGGCUCGAAGAUAUCAAAGCAGAGAAGUACGGGCCAGAACUUAUAACGUUGGCGAACUAGUUCUACGCCUGCCGGACAAGAAAAAGGACAAACUAAAGCCCAAAUGGGAGGGUCCCUUCAUAAUCGACCAAGUACUGACUGGUGGAGCAUACCGCCUGCGAAACGCAUCGGACAACCGACUCGAGUCGAACCCAUGGAACACAGCACGCCUACGAAGAUUCUACGCCUAGCACCGGACUACGUGUUCGUCUCCUCCCUCUGUCCCUUUUUUAUUUUUCCUAUUUUUAUUAGCUGCCUGGCAUUUCUCUCCUUCUCCCUACCUUUUUUCUCCCAAGCUCUUAGGGGCUUGCCUGCGCAUUGUUCGCACAUACUUGACGUGCUACCCGCGCUCAUUAUACCCGGGGGCUUCUUUAUCAGAAGAUUAUAAAAACGGGCCUCAUGCCCAAAACAUGCGUGACACUUCUGCAUGCACCUUUUAUACACCAUUAUAUGCAUCGAUAUGACUUAAGUUUUGGCCAAGCUGGGUUGCCUGGCUCCUGUGCUUACCGCUACGUUCCCGUUUGUUCGGCUAGGUGGUAAAGGGAGCACCUCUGCGAUUGUUACCACCGGGUCAGCCGGAUGUGUACCUCAGACUGGGUGAAGCCGAAAGCUAGCGUUCUUAAGGGAAUAUUCGGUCGGUGAACUAAAAGAUGAUUUUUUCUUGUUUAUUAUUUAUCUGCCCCCAGAUGCUUUUUCUGCCUUUUCUCGCAGUUCGGACAUGCACUUUAGGGCAUGCCUCAUGGAAAGGAACCCCUAACGGAACUAUUCUCCCUGGAAGAUGUUUCUUACUAACCAUGUAAUAUAACAUAACUAGUUGGGCACUUGUUUGCUAAAGCAAUUAUGACCCCUACGCCUUGUCUCCAUGCAUGCCCUCGUUCUUACAUAAUCGAGAGGGUAUUCGGACACACUCCGGACUAUAGGGUCCAGAGCUCGAAGUUAAAAGGUCCGCAAUGACAAACGAUCUACAAUCCGGCUAGAAGGCAUUUUAUAUGUCAUUUUAAAUUACAGAGUCAAUUCGACUCGGCAUAUUCUUCUUCAAUACCAUCCAACAGGCGGUCUAAGUUAUAGUCCUGUUGAGAAUACUUGGCAACUAACUCUACCUGGCCAUAUACUAAACUGACAGGGAUCUCCUUUCCGUCAGGCCCCAUAGGGCCGACCUCGGCCAUGUGGUUCAGGUCAGCCUUCGUGUACCGAGUCUUCACCAUGGCCCAGGCCUCCCUGGCACCUUGACGGCAGGCCGAUAUCUCCCACAACCGGAAGCGCUGCCACACUCCCUCCAGCUUCUUUGCAAGCUCCCCAAGGCCUUCCACUACAAGAAAUAUGUCAACUAGUGACCUUCUAUCAGUGACCCUGGAAGAAUUGGUCAUAGAUCUAUGACCAUUUUAGACCAAUUGGUCAAAAGCUGUUCGAGGGGCUCCAAACCCUAAACCAUUGCGACCAUUUUGGUCAGAAAGGUCGUAAUUUCCUUACACGAAAAGGUCAUAAAGCAAACAGCGCUAGUCCGCUGCCUUAUUUCUAGUUGUUAACGACCAAUAUAGAUGGUCAUAGCCUUGUAAAUUGUGGUGGGUUGCUAUGACUAGGCGCCACCUCAUCAGUUUUGCCUAUGUGUCAUGUCCAUGUGGCAGUUUUUGCCCUAGGUUGUGAAGCAACCUAUAUUUCUGUCAUUCCCAAAAUUCCCAAAAAAAAUCUCAUAAAUUCUUUGGGUCAUAUCUUCGUCAAAUAUGUAAAAACAUUCCUUGCCUAGUUCAAAAAUAAUUCGAAAAUAUUCAUUUUCCUAUUCUGUUCAGAGCAGCACUUUGUGAAGGAAGUACCACUUUGGCAUGUCCAAAUGGUAUCCAUUUUUUACAGUGCUUUCCUAUGCCAAAUAACCAUCCUCCACCAAAUGCCAGCUCAAUCCAUUCAUUAUUUUGAGCCCAGCUUCAACAUUCGUAUUUAUGUCCAGUGUGGUAGUUUGUAAAGCAAGUACCACCUAGGCUCCUCCUUUUGAGGUGAAAAUUUGUGAAGACGGUCUUCUUAGUAACUAAUCAUCAUCAGCCAAAAUUCACGCCCAUUAGCCAUGUGCAUUUCCCGUACCGCAAAUCAAACACUUGGCUGCUUAUUCAUGUUUAAGCAUCGAUCGGUCUCCUCGUGAGAAUCUUAUGUUGUGAUUUUCUUCCUAGCACCUACCUGGGGAGUCCCCAACCCACUAGACAUGUCUAGGCCGCCCAGAACACAAGGCAACGCCACGGUCACGUGGUGACCACGCGGCGGGCAUGCGAGCUUACGCGCCCUAGAGUUGGGUCCCUCGGCCACCGUCCAAACCUCGAUGUCUCACCAUCAAACCAUGUAUUUCUGAUUAAAUAGAUACUUAUUUACCUAGAAAUUAUUUUUGGAAAAAAUAAAGAGCAAACUAUGAGGCAGGUGCAGUUCAAAUUUGACCCGCUUCCAGCUGAAUCGGCGGAAUUUGUCUUUUCACCAGAGGUGGAUCAAAAAUUUUGACACCCAACCAUUUUGUCAAUUGUGCAUUAUAUAUGGCCUAGUAUUUUAUAAAAUUGAUUAGGUCCAAUUUUGCAACAAUUAUUUGGUAGUUCCUUCACAAAAAACCCUCCUUUUGGGCACUCGGAAAAUGAAAAAUGAAUUUUCCGUGAAAGGAAAAUGAAAACUUCCUUAGGCAACAUUGUUUGGAAUUCCAAGAUGCACCCUCGUGCACAAUAUGAGAUCAUUUGAACAAACUAUGCCAUGAAUGUGGCCAUAAGAUUGAUCGUUUGGCUUGAAAGCCAUGAAUCUUCACGCAUGAUAGCUCAUUUCUGGAACACUUUUUUAAAAUAAUUACCGUAUUACAAGUUUAUUAUUUUUCCUGGAAACUUGGUCACAUAUUAUGACACAAUGCGAAUGUUUUCCAAUUUUUUGAAUUUUUUAUGCCUGUUUCAAAAUGCGGUCAAAACGGCGGGCUUGACCGUUCCUAGCUAGUGGUUGAAUCUUGGAAUUUUUUUUGGUGUUUCUAUGAUUAAAUAGAUACUUAUGUACCUAGAAAUGAUUUUUGGAAAAAAAUAAAGAGCAAACUAUGAGGCAGCUACAGUUCAAAUUUGACCCGUUUUCAACUGAAUUGACGGAUAUUUGUCUUUUUCACCAGAGGUGGAUCAAAAGUUUGACACCCAACCAUUUUGUCAAUUGUGCAUUAAAUAUGGCCAAGUAUUUUAUAAAAUUGAUUAGGUCCAAUUUUGCAACAAUUAUUUGGUAGUUCCUUCACAAAAAACCCUCCUUUUGGGCAAUCGGAAAAUGAAAAAUGAAUUUUCCGUGCAAAGAAAAUGAAAACUUCAUUAGGCAACAUUGUUUGGAAUUCCAAGAUGCCCCCUCAUGCACAAUAUGAGAUCAUUUGAACAAACUAUGCCAUGAAUGUGGCCAUAAGAUUGUUCAUUUGGCUUGAAAGCCAUGAAUCUUCCCGCAUGAUAGCUCAUUUCUGAGAACACCUUUUUAAAAUAAUUACCGUAUUACAAUUUAUUAUUUUUCCUGGAAACUUGGUCACAUAUAAUGACACAAUGCGAAUGUUUUCCAAUUUUUUGAUUUCUUUUUUGAAUUUUUUAUGCCUAUUUCAAAAUGCGGUCAAAACGGCGGGCUUGACCGUUCCUAGCUAGUGGUUGAAUCUUGGAAUUUUUUUUGGUGUUUCUAUGAUUAAAUAGAUACUUAUGUACCUAGAAAUGAUUUUUUGAAAAAAUAAAGAGCAAACUAUGAGGCAGCUGCAGUUCAAAUUUGACCUGUUUCCAACUGAAUCACCAUGAAUUUGUCUUUUUCACCAGAGGUGGAUCAAAACUUUUUACACCAAAACAUUUGGUCAAUUGUGCAUUAAAUAUGGCCUAGUAUUUUAUAAAAUUGAUCAGGUCCAAUUUUGCAACAAUUAUUUGGUAGUUCCUUCACAAAAAACCCUCCUUUUGGGCACUCGGUAAAUGAAAAAUGAAUUUUCCGUACAAAGAAAAUGAAAACUUCCUUAGGCAACAUUGUUUGGAAUUCCAAGAUGCACCCUCAUGCACAAUAUGAGAUCAUUUGAACAAACUAUGCCAUGAAUGUGGCCAUAAGAUUGAUCAUUUGGCUUGAAAGCCAUGAAUCUUCACGCAUGAUAGCUCAUUUCUGAGAACACUUUUUUAAAAUAAUUACCAUAUUACAAGUUUAUUAUUUUUCCUGGAAACUUGGUUACAUAUAAUGACACAAUGCAAAGGUUUUCCAAUUUUUUGAUUUUUUUGAAUUUUUUAUGCCCGUUUCAAAAUGCGGUCAAAACGGCGGGCUUGACCGUUCCUAGCUAGUGGUUGAAUCUUGGAAUUUUUUUGGUGUUUCUAUGAUUAAAUCGAUACUUAUGUACCUAGAAAUGUUUUUCGGAAAAAAUAAAGAGCAAACUAUGAGGCACCUACAGUUCAAAUUUGACCCGUUUCCAACUGAAUCGACAGGAAUUUGUCUUUUUCACCAGAGGUGGAUCAAAAUGUUUUACACCAAACCAUUUGGUCAAUUGUUCAUUAAAUAUGGCCUAGUAUUUUAUAAAAUUGAUUAGGUCAAAUUUUGCAACAAUUAUUUGGUAGUUCCUUCAGAAAAAACCCUCCUUUUGGGCACUCGGAAAAUGAAAAAUGAAUUUUCCGUGCAAAGAAAAUGAAAACUUCCUUAGGAAACAUUGUUUGGAAUUCCAAGAUGCACCCUCGUGCACAAUAUGAGAUCAUUUGAACAAACUAUGCCAUGAAUGUAGCCAUAAGAUUGAUCAUUUGGCUUGAAAGCCAUGAAUCUUCACGCAUGAUAGCUCAUUUCUGAGAACACUUCGUUAAAAUAAUUACCGUAUUACAAGUUUAUUAUUUUUCCUGGAAACUUGGUCACAUAUAAUGACACAAUGCGAAGGUUAUCCAAUUUUUUGACUUUUUUGAAUUUUUUAUGCCCGUUUCAAAAUGCGGUCAAAACGGCGGGCUUGACCGUUCCUAGCUAGUGGUUGAAUCUUGGAAUUUUUUUGGUAUUUCUAUGAUUAAAUAGAUACUUAUGUACCUAGAAAUGAUUUUCGGAAAAAAAUAAGGAGCAAACUAUGAGGCAGCUAUAGUUCAAAUUUAACCCGUUUCCAGCUGAAUCGACGACAAUUUGUCUUUUUCACCAAAGGUGGAUCAAAACUUUUUACACCCAACCAUUUGGUCAAUUGUGCAUUAAAUAUGGACUAGUAUUUUAUAAAAAUGAUUUGGCCCAAUUUUGCAACAAUUAUUUGGGAGGUCCUUCACAAAAAAACCUCCUUUCGGGCACUCGAAAAAUGGAAAAAUGAUUUAAGAGAACUCAUUUCUCAUAACUCUUUAAAAAAAUAUUUGUCUUAUUUCAAUUUGUGAUUAUUCCUGAAAACUGUAGUCAAAUUUGCUAACAUAAUGAGAAGUUUUUCUUCUUCAUACUUUCAGGUCAUAAGAAAAUAGCUAACAUGAUUUAGCACAUUACUUUUAGUCAAUUACGACCAAUUAAAAUGGUCAAAAUAUUAUUACAUCUAUACUGCGUUCUGAUUGGUCCAAGGGCCUCUCACGCGGAUCAUGGAUAAAUCACCGUCGGAUCCUCCUGGAUCCAACGGCCCUCACCUCACCCUCUCACGGUCUCACCCACCCACCGCGAGCUACCCCUAAAAAAAACCCACCGCACACCACUCCACUCUCUCCCCGAGCAGCGAACCCUAGCACUCUCUCCCUCUCUCUGGAUCCACCGCCGCCGCACUCCUCCUUCUGGAUCUCGACGCGCCGCUGCCCCCACCCCACUCCCACCCUCCCUCCCUCCCUCUGGAUCUUGAUGCGCCGCCGCCCCCACCCCACUCACGAUCACCGCUCGGCCCUCCCAACUCUUAGAUCCAACUGGCCCGUGACGGAGGCCGUCGUGGACAUGGCCGCCACCACCGACCGUGAGUGGUGGUCUUGGUCAUCGCACUGGAGGCGCUUCUCCUGGCACUCUCCUCGCGUUCAAGUGAAGAUCACGCCAAGGAGGUCGUUCGAGCGCCUAUCGCUCGUCGUCACCGGCGGCGGCCCCCUCCUCCCCUCGCGCCGCACCUACCACGCCCAAUCCUGGCGAGGACAUAGCAGCCGACGCCCUCGCGUGCGACAGCGGCAGCGAGGUCGGCGCCCUCGUGGAGCGGCACGCGGCGCUGGCGGCGGGGUCUGGCCAGCGAUUCCGAGAUCUGCUGCGGUGCGACGCCGAUGCGGUCCGCCACGACCGCCUGCAGCUUCCGCACGCCCAGCAACGGCUACACGGUCACCGUGCCCAGGUCUACUCUUUGCUCCCGAUCCCAGCCCCCCUCCCCUCCCCUCCGCCGGAUCAUCGCUCCCGUGAGCCUAACGCCAGUCGUCUUCCCCGUAGGUCGGAGGUACAUCGGGACGGGUGGUGCAGCGCCGCACCGACUGCAAAGACUCGUGGCCCGGCCAGUGGGACAUCUCUAGCGCCGGCCACAUCCCCGUCAUGGACUCCUCCCUCUCCUUCCUUACGGUGAGUGAGCUCGCUGGCCUCGCACUCCUGUUGCUUGCUGUAGCAAACUCAGAUGACUGCUGCACGGGGAAUCUUAUUCCUAUCACAAAUAGUCAACUUAUGGGAUGUGUGAUCGCGCAUGCGUUCUGCUACUCCUAUGACAAGUUGAUUAGCUCUUGAUUAGCUCUUGAUUAUGGGGGGUGUGGUCGCUCAUUCUUCUUCUCUCAAAAUGUGACAUCCACGCAUCACCGUAGCUCCUCACUUUUUUGCACACUUAGCCUCCGGCCCCUUCAAAUUUUACGACUGAUCUACAUAUUUUAACCUCUGUUACCAUAUUAGUAAUAUCAUAGGCUUACCCAGAAGAAAUUCAGACAGGGGCCAUAAUGCUUCAGCGACGACACUUCCAAUAAUAUGCAUUCCUACAUAAGCUCAACUCCAGCUUCAACCACAUUUUAUUUUAUACUACUCCCUCCGUAAAGAAAUAUAAGAGCAUUUAGAAUACUAAUUUAGUGAUCUAAACGCUCUUAUAUUUCUUUACAGAGGGAGUACCUUUUAAGUUCAGUAACUACUCCUUCUCUGUUCUCAUUCCUCUAUUGAGAUGAGAGGCAACAAAGCUCUUAAUUCUUGAACUUGUUUGGCUUGUUUGUCUGAACAGAUUCGUUUACUGCACAUGCAGCCGCUUGAUGAGAAGGAUUUGGAAAGGAAGCUGAAAAAAGAGCAGAAGGUGCUUGUUCUAAUCUGGUUCUAAUCGGCAUAUUUGACUAAAGCUUCCAUCAGCGUUCCAAUAUCGGUGUAGUCACGCUUUAGGCGUCCCAAUUUCUGCCUCAGUGGCUCAAAGUUGCAAUUUUUCUCCAACAUGAGGACUACAGAGCCGGCAUCCAUCUUAUCAGAUGAAUGAAUUAUCUCCUUGACCCGGCGUACCCAAUGGGUGGUGGACUCACCCUCCCCCUGCUUACAACUUGUCAAGUCCACGAUUGACAUGGACUGCUUACAGGUGUCUUUGAAGUUCUGGAUGAACCGGGCCUUUAAUUCCUCCCACGAACCGGGUCGGGCCGUUCCAUCUAACAUCAUGGUGAAGUAUUUAGCCAUUGUCGCGUCGCUAACCUCCAACAGCUCCAUGGCCAUCUCAUAGCUCUCAAUCCACGCUCCGGGCUGUAAGUCGGCCGUGUAAUUCGGCACCUUCCGAGGUCCUUUGAAGUCUUUAGGCAGGCGCACGUUGCGUAAAGCCGGUAUCAAACAAGGAACUCCACCGGUUCUGGUGGCUACUCCCAACUCAAUAGAAGUCGUUGGGUACUCCGGGAUGUCCUGAUGAGCCUUCAGCUGAGCCGCCCGCUCGUUCUCUUGACGUAUUCGGUCUUGCACCGGGUUAUAGCCCCCAUGUUGGUUACGGCGUUGGGCGUUGCUUGAUAAAGAUUCAGACUCCAUGUGCCUGCUGUAACUCGGGCUCCGGUUAUGACGAGGCGACGCUAACCAAGGCGGAGGGGUUGAAUGAAUCCUAUCCUGGCUAUAAGAAUAGGUCUCCUGCUGAGCCAGGGCCGUCUGAACAAGUUCCCUGAUCCUCCAGGUUUCCACUGCUGUUGGAUCAUCACCGUCCACCGGAAGAGCUGCUAAACGCGGUGAUGCUGCGAUUAAAUUCUCCAUGGGGUUGGAAAAGUGACCCUACGGUAUUGGUACAUAACGCGGCGGUGCCAUGCUCAUCUGAGGAGGUGGCAUCUCCUGACGCUGAGUCGGUCCUCCCGCUCCGGGUGUCAUAAACUGACUGGCAUUGGGCGGGUUACUUGGGCCGGCCCCUAGCGUGGGAAAAAGAACCCCAGGAUCGUAAUUCGGAGGCAAUCGGGAUUGGGCCUUCUGGUGCCUCCUCCUCAUUACUUCAUUGGACGCGUUUGAACUCAUUGUGAGCUGAUAAGCCUCUGACUGCAACCGCUGCGCCCAGGCGUUGAGAGCCGCCCGCUGCGUAGCUAGCUUAGUAUCCUCAGCUGCUAAGGCCUCCUUGGCUUGAGCUAUCUCCUCACGUACCUGUGCUACCUCCGCUCAUGCUCAUCUUUGUUUGCAGGAAUAACCGUGGCGGUUAACAAGGUCGUAAGCUUGUCCAUGAGGUCUAUUAGCACUUGAGCCGGCGGACGCACAGGGCCUCCUGCCCCGGCUGAUCCUAACCCGGAAGUAAUUGCGGCCGCGGCUAUAGAGUUUUGUCCGGGUUGAGUCCCAGCCAUGAAGACUCCUGCCCAAUUUGGCGGCUCACAGAGGCCCGGAAUACUAAGGCCAUCGGAACAGCCCCCGAGCGCACCAUCUUGAACUUGAUACAAAGAAUCUAUUGAACUGGUGGACGAAUCACCGUCAGAGGGGACGGCCGUCUCACCACCAUCUUUAGGCCCUUCAGAAAGCUCUUCUCCGUGGAUGCAGCCCACAAAGACACGCUUCAUGCCGGGUUGAACUCGGGCGGGUUUCGCACGAUGAGCCGUCUCGACAAGAUCGGUGCAGUUGUCCGGCUCAGGCCCCGGCUCACCGAUCCGGCCGAUGAAGACGUGGAUCCCUCCGAAAGGGGACCCGGUACCCGUACUCAAUUGAGCCGGCGUCGGGGCCCUAGCCUUCGUCGUCGAUGUAGAUCUUGCCACGACGACUCUUGGUCAUCCGGCCCACUACGUAUCCCUUGAGCCCUUCGAAGUUGCCCUUCAAGAACUCAAAUCCACCGUGCGCUGGCCCCACGGUGGGCGCCAACUGUCGUGGAAUGGUCAGAUCAGAUGUCCUCGUGAAAGGACUUAGUUGUGGAGCCAUUGCAACUAGGAAGCUUGAAGGGGUUAAACGGGACAAAGGACACGAGGGGGUUUAUACUAGUUUGGCCCAUUACGGUGAAGGUAAGGCCUACGUCUAGUUGGGUUGGUAUUGAUGUUUCGAUGACCAGGGAGCGAGAUACGCUAUGCCUGGCUCUCGAUUAGUUGUUUCUUACCCUAAGCCGCCAGCGGGUCGUCCCCUUAUAUACAUGGGUCGACGCCCUGCGGCUUACAGAGUCCCGGCCGGCUCAUAAACAAUGUACGGCUCGGUGACUAGUUAAGUCUACCUUAUGAUACAAGCAAUAUUAUUACAGUGGGUUACUACAACGGGCCUUAAGUCGCCUGCAGGCCUUAAGCUCUCUAUGAACCGCCAUCUUCAUACUUUGGCUUGGGCUUCUCUCUGGUGAGUCCUAUUUGCGUAACCUGGCCCCUCCUAGGCGGCUUACACAAAUAGUUAUAUCCCCAACAGUCUCGGUUACCUUUGAGGCUGGAAGUAGUCCGGGAUAGUCGGCCUUAAUGGCCACUAAGGUGUUGUCCCUACUCAAUUGAUGAAACGCCCCAUCAAUUAACUCCACGCAUAUGUCUGGGUCCUCUUGGGAAUCCGGAUCGAGGGACCGUUCUGGGUCCUCGGGCUGCGGAGGAGGGCUGUUGAUCUCCUUCACAGUCUGGUGUAGCUCCUGCGUUAACAUCGCCAGACUAAGUACUCAAUUAUGGGAAUUUCGAAAGCGGGUAGAUAAGUAAAAGUGUUCGCUUACCCAGCUUGGAGGGCUAUACAUAGAGAAUCCGCCCCGUGGGUUAACACGGAUGAAUUCCUCUUCUUCUCUCUUGUACAAAGUGGAUAAGAACUUCGUGAGAGUGGCAGCCGAAUCUGGUCCCUUGCGACCGCACCGGGUGGCGUUGUCCUCCCCGUUGAAAUCCCACAUGGGGUGGCCUCUGUAUUGAAGCAGCUGCACCCCCCGCGUAAUGCAUGUGGCCAUGACCUCGAUCAUGGUCAAUCCGGAAUGAGCCAACAAUCUUAUCCGUCUCAUCAGGUAAAGGACGUCCCUGUCAGUUUCCCUUUGAGGAUUCCGUGGUUGCUAGCUUAGGCGUUUGUUUAACGGAGCGUUGUUAAACUCAGGGAGGUCGAUCCGUACAGGGUCCGGCAGGGGGGUGUCAUCCAUAUAAAACCAUUCCGAAGGCCGGUCCUCAGACGCCUUCUUAGGGGUACCGGGUAGGUAUCCGGUCCCGGCGAUGCGCCAUAGCUCGGCUCCGCCCACUUGAUAAAUUGACCCCUCCUGAGAGCGGGGUACAAGGCCGAACAACCUCUUCCAUAGUGCGAAAUGGGCCUUGAUGCCCAAGAAUAACUCGCAGAGGGCCACGAAGCCCGCAACAUGCAGUAUGGAGGCAGGCGUGAGGUUGUGUAGCUGGAGGCCGUAGAACUCUAGUAGACCUCGGAGAAAUGGAUGAAUUGGAAAUCUGAGUCCUCUUAUUAAAUAAGGAACUAGGCACACCCGCUUUCCUUGAGAGGGAUUGGGGACGCUCUCCGCCUGCCCUAAGCCGCUAUAGGUGGCAAUCCUGGAUCGAACUGGGACCAUAUAUGCUGGGGGGAGUAGCCCCUUGGAUUGAAGCACUACUAGCUUGCUAUGCGGGAUGGAGCAUCUCUCCCAAUCCCCAGGCUUGGGGCUGGGAGCGCGAGAGGAGGAGCCGCGUUGGUUAUCCAUGAUGGAAUGGAUUUUUUGUCAGAGGCGCUCCUGUGAAAGCUUGCGAAGGGGAGAUGGUGUGGCUCGGAUCUAGAUCCUCGUCUCUUUAUAUAUAGGCAGCUUAUUUGAGCAGCUAGGGGGGGGGGGGAUGUAAAAAUAGCCUGGCUUUUUGCAUUCGUUCGACACGUGGAAGAGGGCCUUUACUGGACGUCGAAGCCAAGGAGCGCAACAUUUAUCAGAAGCCGGACAUUAUUCUACAAGUAAAUGGAGUUUGGAGAAGAACCCGCCUUGCAAUGCCGAAGACAAUUUGGGCGCCGGACUUGUCAUCAUUGAAGCCUGGUUCGGGGGCUACCGAGGGAGUCCUGGAUUAGGGGGUGUCCGGAUGGCCGGACUAUGACCUUUGGCCGGACACCCAGACUAUGAAGAUACAAGAUUGAAGACUUCGUCCCAUGUUCGGAUUGGACUUUCCUUGGCGUGGAAGGCAAGCUUGGCGAUACGAUAUGAAGAUCUCCUCCCAUUGUAACUGACUCUGUGUAACCCUAGCCCUCUCCGGUGUCUAUAUAAACCGGAGAGUUUUAGUCCGUAGGACGAACAACAAUCAUACCAUAGGCUAGAUUCUAGGGUCUAGCCUCUCUGAUCUCGUGGUAGAUUAACUCUUGUACUACCCAUACCAUCAAUAUUAAUCAAGAAGGAGUAGGGUUUUACCUCCACCGAGAGGGCCCGAACCUGGGUAAAAACAUCGUGUCCCUUGUCUCCUGUUACCAUCCGCCUAGACGCACAAUUUUGGACCCCCUACCCGAGAUCCGCCGGUUUUGACACUGACAGCAGGCACCUCCGGAGGCACAGUGCCAGGAUUCGCGCCCGUCAAAGGGGCGCCUCUCUCCAUCGCAUAGGAAGGCGCGCCCGGUGCCCUCCUCGGGCAAGGCUCGGGGGCUUUCUCCUGGAAGGCCACUGACUUUGCCAAGAUCACGAGGGAGGCGCUCGGGCACCACAUGGAGGCGUGCUUCAUGGCAAGUUUUUUGUGAAGAAUCUACCAUAUAUUUGUUGCAAUAUUUUAUAAAUAAAUUUUAUAAAACAUUAGGACAUAUUUAAUGCACAAUUGACCAAAUGGUUGGGUGUCAAAAGUUUUGAUCCACCUCCGGUGAAAAAGACAAAUUUCUGUCGAUUCAGCUGGAAGCGGGUCAAAUUUGAACUGUAGCUACCUCGUAGUUUGCUCUUUAUUUUUCCAAAAAUCAUUUAUAGGUACAUAAGUAUCUAUUUAAUCAUAGAAAGACCGAAAAAAUUCCAAGAUUCAACCACUAGCUAGGAACAGUUAUUCCCGCUGUUUUGACCGCAUUUUCAAAUGGGCAUAAAACAUUAAAACAGUUACAAAAUUGUAAAACAUUCGCAUUGUGUCAUUAUAUGUGACCAAGUUACCAUCAAAAAUGAUAAACUUGUAAUACGGCAAUUAUUUUAAAAAAGUGUUCUCACAAACGAGUUAUCAAGCAUGAAGAUUCAUGGCUUUCAAGCGAAAUGAUCAAUCUUAUGGCCAAAUUCAUGACAUAGUUUGUUCAAAUGAUCUCAUAUUGUGCACAAGGGUGCAUCUUGUAAUGGCAAACAAUGUUGCCUAAGGAAGUUUUUAUUUUCUUUGGACGAAAAAUACAUUUUCCAUAUCUCGAGUGCCCAAAAUGUGUUUUUUUGUGAAGGACCUAUAGUAUAUUUGUUGCAAAAUUGUACCAAAUCAAUUUUCUAAAAUACGAGGACAUAUUUAAUUCACAAUCGACCAAAUGGUUGGGUGUAAAAAGUUUUGAUCCACCUCUCGUGAAAAAGACAAAUUUCCGCCGAUUCAGGUGGAAGCGGGUCAAAUUAGAACUGUAGCUACCGCGUAGUUUGCUCUUUAUUUUUCCAAAAAAUCAUUUCUAGGUACAUAAGUAUAUAUUUAAUCAGAGAAACACCAAAAAAAUUCCAAGAUUCAACCACUAGCUAGGAACGGUUAUUCCCGCCGUUUUGACCACAUUUUGAAACGGGCAUAAAUAAUUUAAAAAAAAAUAAAAAAUUGGAAAAUCUUUGCAUUUUUUCAUUAUAUGUGGCCAAGUUACCAUGAAAAAUUAUAAACUUGUAAUACGACAAUUAUUUUUAAAAAGUGUUCUCAAAAACGAGCUAUCAAGUGCGAAGAUUCAUGGCUUUCAAGCCAAAUGAAAAAUCUUAUGGCCACAUUCAUGACAUAGUUUAUUCAAAUGAUCUCAUGUUGUGCACAAGGGUGCAUCUUGGAAUGGCAGGCAAUGUUGCCUAAGGAAGUUUUCAUUUUCUUUGGACGAAAAAUUCAUUUUUCAUUUUUCGAGUACCCAAAAUGAGUUUUUUUUGUGAAGGACCUACCAUAUAUUUGUUGCAAAAUUGGACCUAAUCAAUUUUAUAACAUACUAGACCAUAUAUAAUGCACAAGUGACAAAAUUGUUUGGUGUCAAAAGUUUUGAUCCACCUCUAGUGAAAAAGACAAAUUCCCGCUGAUUCAGCUAGAAGCGGCUCAAAUUUGAACUAUAGCUACCUUGUAGUUUGCUCUUUCUUUUUCCCAAAAAUCAUUUCUAGGUACAUAAGUAUCUAUUUAAUCAGAGAAACACCAAAAAAAUUCCAAGAUUCAAUAACUAGCUAGGAAUGGUCAAGCCCGCCGUUUUGACUGCAUUUUGAAACGGGCAUAAAAAAUUCAAAAAAAUUAAAAAAUUGGAAAACCUCUGCAUUGUGUCAUUAUAUGUGACCAAGUUUCCAGGAAAAAUAAUAAAUUUGUAAUACGGUAAUUAUUUUAAAAAAGUGUUCUCAGAAAUGAGCUAUCAUGUGUGAGGAUUCAUGGCUUUCAAGCCAAAUGAUCAAUCUUAUGGCCACAUUCAUGGUAUAGUUUGUUCAAAUGAUCUCAUAUUGUGAACAAGGGUGCAUCUUGUAAUUCCAAACAAUGUUGCCUAAGGGAGUUUUCAUUUUCUUUUCAAGAAAAAUACAUUUUCCAUUUUUCGAGUGCCUGAAAUGAGUUUUUUUUGUGAAGGACCUACCAUAUAUUUGUUGCAAAAUUGAACCUAAUCAAUUUUAUAAAAUACUAGGCCAUAUUUAAUGCACAGUUGACAAAAUGGUUGGGUGUCAAAAGUUUUGAUCCACCUCUGGUGAAAAAGACAAAUUCUCGUCGAUUCAGUUGGAAGCGGGUCAAACUUGAACUGCAGGUGCCUCAUAGGUUGCUCUUUAUUUUUUCCAAAAAUCAUUUAUAGGUAAAUAAGUAACCAUUUAAUCAGAAAUACAUGGUUUGAUGGCGAGACAUCGAGGUUUGGACGGUGGGCGAGGGCCCCAACUCUAGAGCGCAUACGCUCGCAUGCCGCCGCGUGGUCACCGCAUGACCGUGGCGUUACCAUGCGUUCUGGGUGGCCUAGGCAUGUCUAGUGGGUUGGGCACUCCCCAGGUAGGUGCUAGGAAGAAAAUUAUAACAUAAGAUUCCCAUGAGGAGACCGAACUAUUCUCAAACAUGAAUUAUUAUCCAAGUGUUUGAUUAGCGGUACGGGAAAUGCACAUGGCCAAUGGGCAUGAGUUUUGGCUGAGGAUGAUCAUAUACUAAGAAGAAUGUCUUCACAAAUUUUUAGGGAAAUCAAGAAUACAUAAAUAACAUUUCCUUCACAAAGUGCUGCUCUGAACAAAAUAGGAAAAUUAAUAUUGUUGAGUUAUUUUUUAACUAGGCAAGCAAGGUUCUUGACAUAUUUGAUUAAGAUAUGAUCCAAACAAUUUAUGAGAAAUUUUUUGGAAAUUUUUGGAAUAACUGAAAUAUAGGUUGCUUCAUAACCUAGUGCAAAACUUGACACAUGGACAUGACACAUAGGCAAGACUGAUGAGAUGGCGCCUAGUCAUGACAACCCACCACAAUCUACAAGGCUAUGACCAUCUAUAUUGGUCGUUAACAACGAGAAAUAAGGCAGCAGACCAGCACUGUUUGCUUUAUGACCAUUUCGUGUAAGGAAAUUACGACCUUUCUGACCAAAAUGGUCGCAAUGGUUUAGGAUUUGGAGCCCCCCGAACAGCUUUUAACCAAUUGGUCUCAAAUGGUCAUAGAUCUAUGACCAAUUCUUCCAGGGUCACUGACAGAAGGUCACUAGUUGACAUAUUUCUUGUAGUGUGAUCAGGUCAGGGCUAACGACAGCUGAGGUAUGCGCAGGGCCGGGCCCUGCCGACAUAGGGCGCAAAGCAAAUAGGAAGGAAAAAACUGCAAAAUCUUCGAAAUUCAUAAGCAAAUAUUACAGACCAUAGAUUGUUCUCACAAUGCCAAACACAACUUUAAACGCCUCCACAAGGCACGGUGCAUGUUGCAGGAGUUGGAACAGGACAGAAGCCGCGAAGAGAUCACCCUUGGGUAGCACCACCAACUCUCGAAGCCGCGGAGGCGGCAGCACCUCGCUUAGCCGCGAUGCUGAAGGCGCGGAACUUCGCUAGCAAGGCCUCUGCUCGGCCCUUCACAACCUCAGCAGCAGCGGCAGCAUGAUCGCCGCUCACAGGCUCCAGCAGACUGUCGAGGUCAGCGUUGGGGUCGCGAAGGUAGACGUGGCCGAGGAUGUGCGUCAGCGCUGCAGAAGAAAGGACACGAGCUUCGGCCUUGGACAUGGGGACUAUGCCGUCCACGACAUCUUCAACGCUUGGACCAAGAAGGGAAGCAGCUCAGUGGGGCCAUCCUAGGCGCCAGCCAAUGGUUUCUCUAAGCCGCCGUCGUAGAGCGUGUUCAGAGAUGCGCGAGCCCUCUCCUCCAGUUCUGCGAAGGCCACCCGAUCCUCAGCCAGGACCUUCGCCUUGACAUCCAACUCAACCUGCUUCGCCUUCAGCGCCUGCUCCAGUGUCUCCAACCGGCCGCGACUGGCCGAGAGCUCAGCGUCACGAUCCCUGACGGUGGACUCCCGAGCUUUCAUCUCCUCCUUCGCUUGGCGGUCGCGAACCUCCUUGGCAAGCUCGUCACACAGGCCUUGCAGCUUGUCCUCCAACGCCUUGCAGCAGCCCCGGACAUUCAAAGCAUCCUCCAAAGCUGCAUCGCGGGCCGCCUUGGCCUGGGAGGCAACUUGCUUCUCCUCCUCGGAGGCCAACACAGCCUGGCUCAGCGCCGCUCGGAUGGAAGCAUCAGAGCGAACCCAACCAGAGACCAACUCCAGGCGCCCGGCCACCAGGCGGGGGUCGGCGCCCGGAAGAUCUUCUCGCAGCCGACCCAGCUUGGCAGCAGCCCAAUCCAAGGCGGUGGAGUAGGUUGCGGAGGCGGAAGCUGGUGGGGUUGGAGGAGAAGGCGGCAGCGUCAUCACGACAUCAGGCGUCGGGGCCUUCUGAGCCUCGGCGGCCUCGACGACAGCAUCGAGCGCGGGCGCCUCUGGAUUCAGCAGGGCCGCUGGGGUUGGAUUAACGCUGGUGCGUCCCUCUCGGCCUCGUGAGGAUGACCAGGCAGGGGAGGCACGAGCCUCGCCGCCUCCUUCUUUCGCAGAUGAAGGCGCAACCCCAGCAGACGAGCCUGCCUUGAGUAGGGCCACCGAGGCCCCUUUCAGCCUCUUCGCCGCAGGCAUCGUCCUAGCCAAAAAAGACAGACGUCAAGCCUUGACGACAGAAAUGGGAAGCAAAGCGGAAGUCAACGACUCACUGGUCAGCCGCCGCGGGCUCAGACGUCCUCCGGCAAAGCUUGAAGCCCGAAAGCCUCCUGCGGGGCUUAGCCUCGGGAGGUUUGGAAGCGGAAGACGCACCAGAGGGACUGGAGCUAGCUUCAGGCAGCCCCAGGUAGACCCUCGGGAGACCAGCCCCGUCCUGUCCUUCUUUGGGACCAAGGGAGGGUCUUCUCCCCCUCGCCUGGCGCCGGCCUCGUCGUCGUUCGGCAUGGAGCGGAGGGCGUUGGAUCUGCGCCAGGGGGAGGUCUCCCCCGUCCCCUCAAUGGUCGUCGCGGAGUCGUGCUCUUCUUCCUCCUCCUCAUCUUCCUUCUCCCUCCUGCCGGAGUCAUCGGAGGACAAGUCCACCAUAGCCAUCGCAGCCAGAUCCCCGGGAGCUUCCGUCGGUACCAGUCUAUCCCCGUUGAAGGUGGGCAUGGCAUUCACCACCAUCUCCCAGACAUCACGAAGAAACAAGGGGACCAGAGCACCCUCCGGGCUUGCCACAUCCUCCCCAACCAAGGAACGGAGGGCCUCGGCCUGAUGCUCGUUGGCCACGGCUACCGAACUCAGGCGGAGGAUGGCAUCCGCAUCCUCGAGCCUCCACAGCGGGCAUGAUUGCACCUGAAUUGGAGCCACUUGGUGCGCCAGGAACUCCCUCAGGAGUGUGGCCCCGGUCAGCUUCACCGCCCUCAGGUCGCCCGGCCUCAGGUCCGUAUUCAUCUUCUCCAGCACAAGCUUCGCCCGACGAUCGUCGAGCUUCGCACGAGACUACGCAUCGAUGGCCUGGGGCUGCCCCGUGGGCAGCGCCAGCCGGGGGUGGAUGCGUCUGGCGUCCAUCAUGACCCACUUGCUCCGGAAGUCGCUGACCCUCUACCCAGCCAUUGAUAUGGCGUUGGCUUUGGAGUACGCAACAAAGCCCGCCCACGCUGAGAUGUGGGCACCGGAGACUCAGAGGGGAAGAAAUGGCGCAGCAAGGCCAUCGAAAGCAUCAUCACGACGUGUGCCUCGCAGUAAUAAGAGAAGAUCGCCAGGAGAAGGACAGAGUUGGGUUGGAGAUGCAAAGCAUGUAGAUUGUACUGGCGAAGGAGCGCAAAGAAGAACUCAGAGAAAGGAGGCACCAGGCUAGCAAUAUUGGCGGUCAUGAAGAACGGGUAGAAAGUGCUCCCCUUGUCUUCCGACUGAGCGGAGCCGGGCCGGAGCGCGGUCUCCCCAAUCUCGCUGCCCUGCGCUGCUGCCAUCAGGUGCGUGAGGGCAAGAUUUUUCUCUGUCAUCUUUGGGGGAUCUAGAGCUGGCGAGUACCAGGCCAGUGGAGCCCCUGCCGAGGUCUUGCGAGGCGCCAUUGCCCGCCGGAGGUGAGAGAUUGAGGCAGAUCUGGAAGAUUUCGGAAGCGAGAGGGCGAAGGGCAAGAAAGGGGAUCUAAAGCAAGGCGGACGAGAGUAGUGAAGGAAAGCCUAACCCAGACCAGCCCUUUUGUCAGAUGGGCAGUUGCCGAGGCAACGUGGGUAAGCGGAGACGCCCAUGUCCAAUCAACCGCCAUGCGGCACCGCGGGCUGAUGGGGCCCGCGACACUCCGCACUUUCCCCUUAGCAUCUCUACUAAGCCAAGUCCAAGCGCGCCUUCUGCCCGGGGGCUACUCUCGGCGUUUUGGGAACGGGGGUCCCCAGACUUGCAUGCCUUCGGCCUGCGGCAUGGAUCAAGUGGUGGCCCAGUACGGCCCAUCUUCAUCGACUCAAGCUCAAGACCCUCGUGAGGGUCCAAGCCUCGCGGGGCGGACGACAAAGGCCUCCUUAGGAACGGCCUCACCAGGCAGGCUCGCGAGGAGGUAGAGAGAUCAAGGCAAGGGUACCUCGCGAGGUGCUCGUGACGCAAGCCAUGACGAUCGAGACUAGGCGGGCGCCAGGCGGCCGCCUGCCUUUGCAGUGUCCUUGUUUCCUCUUUGGUGCAAAGGGGGCAAGCACAGACCAAGGCAUCGGGCAAAGGCUACCAUUCUGGUGCAACGAGACCAAGACCAACAGAGCGGCAGGACGGAGGUCACCGUGGAGCCCAAGAUGGCAUCAUCGCCAGUGCCUUUGGCAGCCGAAGACCAACUUUACUCAGGAUAAGUUGUACUAGAUGGUCCCCUUCAAAAUGGCCGUUGUUGGCGCCCUUCCUGCUCAAUAUUUGGGAAGAGGACCAGGGCCUCUAUAUAUAGGGCUAGCCAUCACAGUAGGGAGGCAUCGGGGAUUCAGUUCAUCGACUCCAUCGCAAGAACACCCCUCGCAAGGCUGUUCUUCCUCUGUACUAUUCAUCACCAGCCCCUGAGGCAAUCCACACACCACACACUGGUUUAGGGUAUUACAGCACAAUGGUGGCCUGAACCAGUAUAAACCUCGUGUCCCUUGUGUUGUUCAUCUUGCUAGCUUAGAUUCUCAGCGAGGCAUUGGGACGUAGAUCGGUAGGGGAGAGAUCUUCGUGCGCACCCUAGAGUUUGAACCUUAAGGGUUUUGCUGGAACCCCACAUCCGACACUGACCAAGAAGAAAUGGAAUCUGCCGGCAAGUGCAUCAACCAUGACAUGACAUUGGGCUUAAGCACCAACGGGAAGUAAUUGGCAAGCACCUUGAUGUCUCGUUCCCCAGCAUCCUGGAUUGCGAUGGUGUAGAUGAUGAGGAACUCUGACGGGUGAGUCUUGCCGUUGUACUUCUCUCCAACGUUGGGGUUGAACGUGCGAUGGGAGGGCCACUGGAACUGCCACAGCUCACAAGUAAAAGACGGGCAACCCACCUCAUAGGGUAGGCCACCAUAGCCUUCCAAUGCUGAGUGGUCCACAGUGGGUCAUGCUCGCCUAUCUGACUGGCGGCGCGCUCCACGCCGACGCUCGAUGGUAGUUUGAGCAUCUUCAUGGGCUUGCUCCUGGAGAACUUGACGCUGAUCACGGGGGGUCCGUGGAUCGGAGGUUGCUAUGGAGAUAUUGUCACAAGAGUCAUCACGAUGGAUCGACACCUGCGGUGGCUGGCGUGGCAUAGGAGAGUGCAUUGUGGCUGCAUCACGUCCAGCCCUCCCUCCACUGGGAUGAAGUGGCUCGACAGAGCGUCAGCCUAUGGACGCUGCUGGUCAUGGCUCAUUUUUGUUGGCAAUGCCGACGAGGCUCCGGACGGUGGCUCUCCACUCGUCGAGCUUCCCCGCAGAAGGAGGGAAGUCGAGGAGCAGCUGCGCGCGCGCCAAGCUUCGACUGGCGUGGGCGGCAGCGAAAGCUGUGUGGACCGUGACGCACUCUGACCUCUAACCACAUUAGAAGGAGCUCUAUCAUGGUCCUCUGGCCAUACACCAUUUUUGCCAGCGCUUUGACGUGCAAGCUGUUCUUCUCCGCCCCGCAAGUGAUGCACGGGGCUCUUCCCAUGGCAGCGCCCGGGGUCACCAACAUGGUGACGUUUCUCGUUGCUCCCAACUUGGGAGGAGUGUGGCGUGGGCGCCGGCGUGGGUGUCUUGGAGGUCGCCGCGCAACCGGCAGGCGGCACAGGGACGGCUCUGGAGGGCCCCGCGCCGCCUGCGGGGUGCACAACUUCAUCUCUGGAUCUGGCGGCGGGCGGCUCAUCGUCUCGCUCACGAGCGACGUCACUCGCCCUGGUCUGGCUGCCAGAGCAAUGCGGGUGUUCGCGGGCCGUGCCCCAGGUUCUGUCCGCAACGACACCGCUCCCCGUCCGCACUAGUACGGGUAGUCCAGCGCCAGAUGAGCCGAUCGCUAUCAUCAUCUUCCUCUUGGGAGCCAUGACGAUGAGGCACUGCUGAACUAACUAUAGAACCAGAUUCUCUCAACUAUGCCCCCUACCUGGUGCGUCAAAGAUGUCGGUGGGAAUGACACAUAUGGGAUCAUGGGAAUCCCUACUACGGUUACGGGGCGCGGGGUUGAGAGAAGAGCGGUAUCAGCAGUCAGUCCAAGCACACGGGUCGGUUACCCAGGUUCAGGCCGCGAGGAUGCGUAAUACCCGAGUCCUGCUUUAGUGUCUAUUUGAGUGUUCUUGGAGUUCUUGAGCUAGCUACCAUGAGUAACUUGUGAAGGGGUUCGAAUCGAUAUCUAGUAUGCCUUGGCCCUCCUUUUAUAGUCAAGGGGAUCGCCACAGUGGCACACAGGAGGUGGCAUCAGUGUACACUGGCUAAGCUAAUCGCUACCUAUUAUGGGACAAGAUGCAUUUAAUGCGCCCCUUAGGUGUCCCCCUCACUUUAUCAGGUACGGAAACCAGCCCCCGUCCCGUCCAUCGCCGCUCCGCCUUGCUUCAACACGCGUCCUGGCCAACGGUGUGCGCGGUGCCAUGUAGGCUAGCAGGCUGCUGAGGUGGAACGGUGGUAGGGCCUUCACGAAGAUUUGCAUGCCACCAUGUAGGCGCUCGCUGAGUUGGCCUGGAAGCCUCACAUCGACACACAGGUGCCUGCCUAGCUGGUGGGCUGGGACCUGCAUGGAGCGGCGGUGGAACCAUGGCGGGUGUGGUCCUGGCUGUGGCCCCACAGAUGUCCUCUGCAAGGGCCUUGCUGGAGCCUCGACAAUGGUCUUGCCGCGGCACUGUGGUCGUCCCCGACAAGGAUCUUGCUGAAGGUCCUAUGGAUUUCCUUGGCAAGGGUCUCACCAAGGAUCACCGUCUUCCGAUCCUUGUCUUCACAAAGAUCUGCAUGCCACUACAGAGGUGCCUCCGAAGCCCUGGUUCCAACGUAGUUGAUGGCGUUCGGAAACCUUGGGCUCAAGUGUGGCGCACUCUGUUAGUAUUGGGCAAGUUGCCCCGGCAAGGUUCCUGCCGGAGUUGCGGAGGCUGCCCCGGCAAUGGUCUUGCCGGGGCAGUCCACCUCGCCCUCUUGGCCUUUGUGCUCCUGGUCUUGGCAUUGCUUUGACUAUCCUGCAUCUUUGACUCCUCCCUCUACCCUGCGUAGUCUGGUCAUGGGCGUGGCUCUGACUUCCCGUGCACUAGUAAGGGGUACAAAGGAGAACCUUUACUUUAGUACACCGACACUGGGCAAUGACUCCUACUACCUGAUCGAUGCACAGAAGCCCAGGGCACGCAAGAGGGACGACUCCGGCAAGGAGUUGGAACGCGCAUGGAACGCACAUCUACUUCGAAGAUUUUACGGUUAAUGGAGUUUGUACCAUGCUAUCUUUUGUAUUAAGUACCAUACAUCGGGUCCCCCGAGGAGCACUCGGGGACUUCCCACUUUUAUCUAUAUGAUAAGUUCUACGCCUAUGAAUGUGUUAUUACAGUUUUUCCGCCUUGCACCUGGGUUCGACCAGUCCGAACGGAGGCUUGUCGCCUUGUAUUAUGUUGGUGCUACCUGCAGUCGAACAAGUAGUCUGCCAGUAUCCAAGCCCUAACUUGCUGCAAGCCGCAGCUCGUAGAGUGACUGUUCUACAAGCAAGAGUCAAAGGCAAUAAACGAUGGCCAACAUGAAAAAUGGCCAAGGGCCAAUGCACCUACAUAACAUAAGUCGGCUCCCCGCCUUGAUGACCGACUGUUAAGCAGCCGGUCGACCGGCUUCUCACUCACCUUGCUAUGUCCCUAAAAGCUGAAGUACUUGCCCUCCCAAAGGCCAAGCACUUGUCCCAGCCACAGUCUGCAGAGCGGCUAUCCAGUUGGCAAGGCGGCAGCCAAGGGAGGGCGGCAAAGGAAAAAGCCAAGAAGGACCUAAAAGCAAGCAAAAUGGAGUCAAUCACAAGCAUAGCAGAUGCAUAAUAAUAUUUACAUAUGCAAGGCCUUUAAGCCGGAAUUCAAAUAGAGUUGUGAAUACACCACCAGUGGGUGGAACUGCACACACUUAACAAACGUUGUUCAAAAGAUUACUAGGCAGGGAGAAAAGAUAAGGAUAAGACAACCGCCUAGGCCAAGGGCGCAACCGGAGAGUCCGGCAGGCUGGUGGAGUCGGCAGCGCCGGCUGGUGGAGUGGCUAGCGGCUCGUUGCUUGAGGUACGGUCGAGUGGAGGCUGGCCGUCUGCUCCGCCUUCCGGCGCGACGUCUUCAUCGUCCUCACUCUCCUCAUUUUCUCUCUCGUCCCUCGAGGCGAUCUCUUCCACCAAGUCCUCGCCAUCCUCCGGGUUGAGCCCAAACUUGUCCGGUGGUAGCUUGGCGCCUUCCUCGUUCAGCUCAGGAACACAGACACUGGUGUUGGUGUUGUCGGCGAUCGCUGCGGCGCGAUGGAUAAUCGCAGGCCUCACCACCACCAGCUCUUCGUGGGCCUCCUACCGGAACGUGGCCAACUGGGCUAGAUCUAGCCCAGGGUACCAUGCCCUGAUGAACUCCAAGGCCCGCCUGGCGCCUAGCCGAGCCAAAGAAGCCUUCCACGCCUCGAAGCGGCCGACUGCCACGUCCAGCCAAUUGGCAGUCUGACUAGGGGUGCGCGGAGCCUGGAUGCCUAGCCAUAGGGCGGAGACCACCUCAGCCCCGACAGGCUGUAGCUGGCGGAGCAUCCGGUGAGCCGGUUGGAGACGGGCCUGGAUAGUGAGGAGCUGCUCGUCGAGCGUCCAAUGGGCGUUUGGCGUAAUCUUUGCGCUGACCUGCCUCCGCUCUCCGCGACUGGCUUCAAUGGCUUGGCUGGCAAUGAUGGCUUAGCCAGGGAAAUACUCAAUGUAAGAUGAAAAAGAAAGAGAUACGAAGUCGGAAGCCAGAUCGUACAACAGGCGGUAGACAAAGGAAAGAGGAGAACAAAUCACCAUCGACCAUAUCCUUGAACCGGCCGUAGCCGCCGUUCAGCGCCCUCUCCGUAUCGGCCGAGUUUGCCGCCUGGGCCUCAUACCCGGCCUAGAGGGUGGUCUUGCUGUCCUUCGCCUUCUGGAGGGUCACCUUUUUGAAGCUCCUCUUGGUUGGCCAGCUUCUUGACCAGACGAUCGCGGUCCUGGGCCUGCUUGCUGCGCUCCUCCUCCUUGGCACGCAGCACGGUCUGGGCCUCGCCCAAUUGCUCCUGCAGACCGGUGUUAGCUUCUGCAAAGACAACAAAGAAGGGUGAUCAGUAAGAAAGAAUGAAAUGAGAAGUCAACAAAAGAGAUCCCGCCCAACUGCUUCUGCAAUCUCGGGGACUACACCCAGCAGGUGCGCUGACGCGCCCCCGCAAGAAAGAGAAGGCGGAGUGCUUACUCUAGCUUUUGAACAAGUCAGCCGUUUUAUGACUCAGCUCCCGGACAUGGGAGUUGAAGGCGGCUGCACGGAGAUUAUGAUAGUCCUGCAACAAAUGCAAACAAGAAAGAAAACAAGUCAGCACCCGGACCUACUUGGAAGUUCCAGGCCGCCUGCUCAGCAGCCAGCCCGGAACUUGGGGACUACACCCAGUGGAUGCACUGACGCGCCCCCACGGAAGAAUACAAGAAUCAAGGGCAAACAAGCAUACCUGGAUGGCCACCCGCGACGCCAGGAACUCCUGGUUGUAAGUAUGGAGGGCGGCAGCCUUAGCCUGGAGCCAAGUCCGGACGACAUGCGCUGCCACAUUCAGCACGGCCGUCCCGCCUUCGGCAUCCACUCCGCCUGCUGAUGCUGGAGGCAUCCACCUAUAGGGCCGACGAGCUAGUGCCCCCAACCUCCUGCGGCCGUGGCACCGAAGCCGCCUUCUCUGCACGCGGACGCGCCGGAGAGUGGACCGUAGGGUCGGCUUCCCCUGCCAGGUCUCCACUAGCCGGCGGCACCGGUGGUGCGUCAGGCCGGACGCCUUGAUCUUCGACGAUUGGUGCCGAUGGCGGCACCUCCGCCUCCAAGGCGAUGUCGUCACAAUCUCCCUCUCCAUGGCCGGCUGAUAGCCGCCGGCUCCUUCGGACGGCACCAAGAUUUCGGGUGUGGGUGGCAGGGAGCAGAGGGGAACGACGAGCUGCAGGGGUUGGCCGCUUGUGGCCACUUCUGCCUGCGCCCUUGUCGCAUCAUCAACUUGCGCCUUGGCAGCCUCGUCCGCCUCCUCCUGCGCCGUCUUGGCCGCCCCCGCCUGCUGCUACUCCGCGCCUCCCGCGCGUUCCUCUCUAUCGCCGCCUAGAGCUCGGCGAGCGGGUCCAUCAGACGGGCGUUGGCGGAGCCCUCGGCCGCCCCAACCACCGAGGCGGUGCCAGAUCGCUCAAGAGAGAGAGGUGCCCUGAAUCAAGCAAACAAAAAGAGUUCAGAUUGGAGCUAUGAGUAAAUAAGAAGAAGAAAGCGUAAGGCAAGUCAAACACUUACGCGCAUACUGUCACGGGCUCCUUCACCGCCCUCCGAAGGCGGUUCGCCUUCACGGCGGCCUCCUCCCGCCUGGUCGCCGCUGCUGAGCCCCUGGGCUUCUUUUGCCGACUACCGUACUUCGACGGUGCAGCUCAGUGUUUCUGCGCGCCGCCUGGAGCAGCCGGCAUGGCGGAUGAGCUCGUGCCCACCCAGUCGGCGGCCGGCUGACAGUGCGGCACGGCCUCCUCAUCGUGGUCCGGCCAGUCCUCAAUGUCGCUUCCACCGCCGGAGCCGCCUGCCUCGCAACCACCGCCCGUGGCGUCGAUGUCCAUGAGGGCGGCCGCCCCCAAGUCAGGGUCGUCCGAAUCGCUCUUCGCUCGGUCGGGGAGAUACUCAUGAGUAUGCCCCGCGGCGCUGACUGCCGACUGGAAGAUGGCAUUCUAUGUCAUGGCUUACUGGUCAGACGGGAUGCGAGAACCCGACAACUGAAUAUAAAGAGAAGAAACGAAGACUUACAAUAGGCGGCAGAUGGGCGCACGAGUAAGGUUCCUUGCCGAACUGCCACUCCUCCGUCGGGAGCUUGCAGUUCGAAAACUGGUUUACCAAGUGAGCCACCUCCCCGUGUGGCAUCUCCUUGGUGCUUCUCCUGUUGGGGUACCUAUUCCCGCUCAUUUGGAAGAUCAUGUGUGGCCGACCUUGAAGGGGGAGCACCCGGCGUGCCAUGAAGGCGGCCAGCAGGUCCGCCCCCGUGAGGCAUUCCAACAGCGUCAUCACCUUGAGCCGCUCAAUGGCCGUGGCAGAGACGGCCGAUAGCAUCCUAGGAUUGUACGACCAGUUGGCUCGCGAUCCAGCCGGCGGGCCGGCUGCGUAGGCCGGCAGGCUGACAAAGUCGGCCUCUGGGUGGACAUUCUUCACAUAGAAGUACAACUGCUGCCACAUUUUGACCGAGUGUAUCAGCGUAAUGGACGGGAAGGUGUUCUCGGUAGCCGGCCUCCGCACCGCGACAAAGGCGCUGCACUGAGCUGGUACCCCCUUAGAGACGGUGCCGAGCUUCGUGUAGAAGAACUCGCCCCAGAGCUCUAUGGUGGGGAGGAUGUCGAGGAAGACUUCACAGAGGGUGACGAAGGAGGACAGCAACACCACCGUGUUUGGCAUGAGGUGGUGCAGUUGGAGACCCUAGAAGUUAAGGAAGGAGCGCAAGAAGCCGCAUGCCGGCAGGCCGAAGCCGCACAUGUAGUGCGACCGGAAGAUGACAUGCUCGCCUUCCUCCGGCGGCGGUGAGAUUUCCCUUUCAGGCGGCAAGCGAACCCUCACGUAGUCCGGGCCGGGCAACCGCCGUGACCGGCGAAGGAAGUCGAUGUGGUCUUCAUGGACGGCAGACCCGUCCCACGCUCCGGAGCGCGCCAUGGGUGCAUGGAGCUUGCGAAGUGGACGAGCGGCGGCAAGAGAGCAAGCCCGCAGUGGUGUAGGAAAGCAACAGGAUGGCCGGAGCCUGCGACGGCGAGCUGCAGCACCAUAAGGAAGGAGAAGAAGCAGAAAAUCGCAAUGGAGGAGGUGGGCGCGCGUGCGCUUGCUGUUCCCCUCCUCCCCCUACUUAUAGCCCCAAACGGCGAAGCCGAGGGGGCGAGGCGUGGGGGGUCGUGGGACUAACUGGGCCCACAUCCCCACAACCCCGCGAUUAUUGCGCCAUAAUGGCAUGCUUUAACCGUUCCUAGAAUGCCAACUGCCCGCCCCAGCCACAGCGGAUCCACGCGUGGGCCGAGGCGCAGCGGUGGAGGGCCCCAGCAUGCGGUGACGUCCCAUCACGUGCGUGGGCCGGCAGGUUGGCCCAGCCAGCCAGGGCCGCGUGGCGCACAGGCAACGAGCGGCCGUCUUGCCGCCCGGUGAGCGUGCCACCUGGCUCCCGCCUUCAUGUUUCAAAACCCUCAAGGUGGCGAGCCUGCUCGUAGUCGUCUCCUAGUUGUCGUUACUUCAAAGUAGGAAGCUGCUGAGGCCUCUCGCUUUUUCAGCCACCACACCCCACCAGCUUUGGGGACUACUGCCGGAGUAAAUGGCCACGAGUAGCCUCAUCUGCACCCCAUGUCAUUUCAAGACAUCGGGGCUGGCUUCGCCCCUCAACCCUCCAAGAAGAAAAUCCGCCUUGUUGUGGCCGGCUGGUCCAAGCGGCCGGCUGCAACAAGGCGGCAAAGCCCAGAAAGCGGCCCUACGGUCGGCCGACUCCUAGCAGGCGGCCACCAGAGUGGCUGGCUCCUGCCAAGUGCCUCAUCCCUGUGGCCUCAAAGUUUGCACCCACAUAACGGCAUACAGUGUGGCCUGCCGCCCCUGAAUUCCGGAGCGGGCGUGCCAACAACGCAACGUACCGGGCGGCCGUCCCUCACCCGGCGCGACACUGUUGCCACGUUGAUCUUGACAUCAUCCAUGGCAAGGCAGCCAUGCCUCCACGACGGGCUGUCAGUAUGGCCCGUAGGCGGCAGGCCAUACCUGACAAAAAGACACCCGAAGGCGGCUUGCCCAGACUAGUUGGCAUAGAGGGAGGCCGGCUCCUAGCAGUCGGUCCUCCACCUCCUUAGAAGUUUGUGCGCCAUUAACCCGAUAAGACGAGGUGUGGAAACAGUGAACGCCCACCAGGCGGCGACACUGUAGCUACGAUAUCCCUAACCAAGCCAUCGUCAUCAGGGAUAAGGCUACAGUAACGAGCCGCCAACAGGGCCCACGGAUGGUGGGCCUAACCUCUCAGCCAAGAGCCCGACACCCGGCAGGACCCACAGGCGGCGGGCCCCAUCAUCCAGCGGAGAAGCCGGCGACCACAGGCACUGACGGCCUAGGCCUACACCCAGCCGGAUUACCAUUGUACCCCUGGGGAGUAGGCCUAUAUAAACCCCCCAGGGCACCCAUGCAAAGGGUUCAGCUCUUAGACCACACACACCCCACAUAGAGAGAGGAGUAGUGCUGGCCUUGCUCUUCUUCCUCCUCUAGACGAAAUGCUCAAGGAGCCUAUUGUAGCUACUUGUUGAUUUAUUAACCAUGCGGAGACCCGCGGAGUAGGACUAGGGGUGUUAUCUCCUAGGAGAGCCUCGAACCUGGGUAAGAUCCACCGGCAUGCAUGUCUUCACCUCAUCCCGUUUCCAGGCACCGGUGAUGUCUUACUAGCUCCCACAAUGAUUAGCCAUCCUUUGGCAUAUGUCGCACCAACCACCCAACAACUUGGACCACCUGGAGGCGCUCCCACAAUGAUUAGCCAUCCCAGGUGGCGACUGACAAGUUGGACCACCUGGAAGGCGAUGAGAAGUGUUGCAUGAUGGAGCGCCUCCAGCAACUUCUCGACGCGGAUGCCAUGCAGCAAGCCGACCGCCGUGUGGUGGAACCCGACAUGCAAGACGAGAAUUGCCUCCCUCGCCGCGAGCACGGUGCAACCUCUCGGUCCCCAACUGUCAGUGACCAUGGAUGGAGAGACCCAAAGCCGGCUGCUAGCCGCAGUCAGCGCACCCGCAUCACGAUUAAGCGUGAUCGAGACAGCCAUCCACGGGCGAUGGAACGACAAGAUGACCUGCCGCCUCCCCCACGCAGGGAUAAGCGCCCUUCCCUGCUGCCUAUUGAGCAUCCGACUCUCGGAGGCUCCCUUGGCCCUUGUGAAGGAGUCAGAUAGAAUGACGACUCCCACCGGAUCGACCGACUCGCUCAGUCCCUAGCAGAACAAGAAGAAGAUGCAGUCGGCCUGGCAGAUUUUAGCCCCCGCAUCAGCAACGAGCCCUUCCCCAAAGGGUUCUCACUCCCACGAGACACUCCCAAGUACAACGGCUCCGUGAAGUCGGAGGACUGGCUGGCCGACUACUCCACGGCCGUCAAAAUAGCAAACAAUAACAAGCGUGUUGCCGUAAAAUAUGUUCCGCUCAUGCUCCAGGGCACAGCCCGGACAUGGCUAAACAACCUCAAGCCGCACAGCGUCAACAGAUGUCUGGAUUUCUAUGACGUCUUCAUCCGCAACUUCGCCAGCACCUACAAUCGGCCGCCCAAGCCUCGCAAUCUCUCCAUGUGCGUCAAAGGCCCGAUUGAGUCGACCCACUGCUACCUGACGCAUUGGGGCGAGCUAUGCAACUCCUGCGAAGAGGUGCACGAGGUGCAGGCCAUAGAGUACUUCACGGCCGGGUGCAGAGAAGGCACCCUACUCAAGCACAAGCUCCUCUGCGACGAGCCGGCCACCCUCGACGAGCUGCUGAUCAUAGCAGACAAGUACGCCACCGCCGACUCCUCCAUGAAGUCGAAACUCUGAGUGGACUUGUCCGGGAAAGUGCUCCCCUCGGCUCCUAAAACACCGGCUGGUGACACCAACUUGUGCCAGCAGAAUGACAACAAGCGCAAGGCCCAGCAGCCGGCUUCCAGCAGCCGGCAGGUAGCAGCAGUCAAAGAUCAGCAGACGACUGGUCAGCCCGCCCCCAAGCGCCAGUGAACCGGCAAGGGAGCAUGGCUGUCCACUUUCUCCUUCGAGCAGGCCCUCGACGCCCCCAUCCAAGUUUCACAGCGACUUGAAGCCAUCCAACCACACCACAUGGAAGUGCAACUGGCUCGCUUGGAUCGCCCAGGGAGAGGCCCUUCCCCCUUCCCCGCCAGUCGUCCCUGUAGCUCCGGGUGCUCAGCAGCCGGCAGGUCGGCCUGUCGGCACCAUCCAGGAUGAGUUCCUCGAAGAGCACGCCACUUACAUCGUCUUCAGAAGUGAAGUCGGUAACAGACAAGCAGACGGCAGCGACAGAGAGAGGUGAACGCCGUUAGCUCAGAGGUUCCCACCCGCAUGCACUGGUCCGAGAGGCCCAUCACCAGGAGCCAAGAUGACCACCCGACUGUGAUGCCCAAUCCGGGUUCAUACGCCCUGGUGCUAGAAGCGACCUUUGGAACGGAGAGGCGGUCUUGCCGGUUCGGCCGAGUUCUAAUAGACGGUGGCUGUAGCAUCAACAUCUGUACCGUGAGACCAUGGAAGGGAUGGGGAUCAAGGCCAAGCAGGUGCAGCCCUGCCAGACCGUCUUCCACGGCAUUGUACCCAGCCUUUUGUGCUCCCCAAUCGACAAGGUCAAGAUUGAAGUCCUAUUCGGCGACAGCAACCACUUCCACCGGGAGCCAAUCUGGUUCGAGGUGGUUGACCUGGAAAGCCCCUAACAUGCGCUCCUGGGCCGCUUAGNNNNNNNNNNNNNNNNNNNNNNNNNNNNNNNNNNNNNNNNNNNNNNNNNNNNNNNNNNNNNNNNNNNNNNNNNNNNNNNNNNNNNNNNNNNNNNNNNNNNACAGGAGUUCAAGUUUUUUUAAAGAAAGAUGUGCAUGGUACAUGACAGUACUGAACGCUCUUCCUCCCUUCAACCAUGCCAAGUAAUCAAUGGAGAAUGGAAACAAUAGUAUUUUUCUUAUUAAAAAGGACAUGGGCACAAAGUAAUAUGAAUAUAUCUUCAUGGUCCUAAAAUUAUGAAUUAGCAUCAACCUGUCGAGUAAAGGUAGACCGUAAAUGACACAAUCUAUGAACAAAACCAGUAAGACAUCUGACUAAGCACAUACAAACUACACAAAAGAAAUUAUGACAGCUGAGUACUAAGAUUGUAGGAUAGCUAUGCCCAAAACUAAUAUAUUCGGGAACGAGAACAAAAUAAAAUACAUAAUAUUUCAGCUCUGCACUUGAGGACGCAAUCCAUCCAAAUUCAGCUAACCAAAUUUCUCACUGAAUCUAACUUAAUUCAACCAGAUACAUGGUAUGGGAGAGUAAACGAUACAUACUCAUGUAAAAUGACGGAGAGGGGGCGAUACUGAAGAACUCCGAUGGCAAACACCUAGUUGCUGAGCGUUGUCGUGGGUAUACAUGCAGCCUGCAUCAAGCAGAAUGCCAACCACCACCGUACCCUGACAAUGAUCGCCAGUUAUGUUAAAAGAUUAUACAAGAACAGAAGUUGCUAUAUGAAAUAAGUAAAUAAACACAUAAUUCGAGCAGAUACAUUGGAUGUGAGAGUAAGACACAUACUCAUAUAAAUUGAUGGAGAGGGGGCGAUACUGAUUGCAUUAAUAUGGUCAUAGCAAGUGAUAAAAAAAGUGCACUGGGAUUUCCUUUUUGAAGUUAUUAGUUCAUACAAUUUCUGAUAUAUCCAAUAAUCUACGUGGAGACUGUUCGAGUUCCAUUUCGUUAAUCUACUUUACAGAUGACCUGGUAGCCUUUUAUAAAUUUUCUUGUUGUGAAGAAAGUUUCAAGCAGCUAACUCAAUAUUUACGCAGAGAGAUCAGGUUAGCUGAAACAAAAAAGAGUGAACACGGUGAUGGUCAUAAGUCUACUUGAUUAUUAUUUUUCUCCACGCCUUAAGUCUGAACUGAACUGUUAGAUCAUGAUUCGUGUCAUCUAAAUAUUACAGUUUGAGAACAGGACAAUGGUGGAACUUUGAGCAAACAAUUUUUUUUCUUUGGUUUCUAGAGUUACCACUGUAUAUUUUGGAGGCAAAGCUAUCCCUGUAUUAGGGAGAGCAAACUCGAAUACAGAAGAACACCCAUAAGCUUUAUACUGAAUCCCUGAUUUAUUGGAACAACCAAAGACACAAGUUCCGAAUUCCAAUUAGAUAGCUGCAUAGUACAGCCUGCUAAACUAGGAGCUAGAGGUAGUAUGCCUAUUCGAACUAUCUUAAGAUCAAGCUAAUUUUGUGGCGCACAUGGCCAUCUCCUGAAGCAGCUGAUGCAACCAAGGACUAAUAAACUGAAGAGCAUUCGAACAAACACUCCUAAAAGUUCGGAAUUCCAAUGGUUUGGUUUUGCUUCAGGCUUCAGGCUACCAUCAAACAGAGCACCUCAUGCACGGCAUCCCAGCGUACAUCUGGGGAGAGCAAUAGGAGAUUAAAGGAGGAAGUUAGAAGGGUCAUCUGGGUAAGGAAUUCUUAUUCCUCGCCCCAGCCCGUCUGUGCAUCCCAGCGUCAGCAGCCCGAUAUUUAAUCAACAAUCCAACCUGAACUUGAGUGGGAAAACAUCUCUACUAUUAAUCUCUACUAUUAAAGGAGAACCGAACGUCGUGAUGGUUCGACCUCCAUCUCCUAUCACCCUGCGCUAAAAAAGAUCGCAGACAAUAUCCCACGUUCGAGGCCAGCGAUAGGGAAAAAAAGACCCUCGGACGCACGUCCCACCCGAUCCACUCCCACGCCCCAUCACCUCCAAAUCCAAACCACCUCCAUGUCGAUCCCGUGUCUCUCCCCAAAGAAAUCGCUGUAGUCGGUCUCCUGCUUCCUCGCUUUACUCGGCCGCGGUUCUCUCCUCCCCAUCGUUCGUCCUGGGGCUACCUCAAAAACCGCACGUCCAAGUCCUGGCCGUCCCCUUCCUUCUAAAUCCACAAGCCCGGGCUAGGGGAGGAGCGAGGAUACGCUUAGACUGGUGGGGAUAUGACGACCUCACGCGUGGCGACCGCAUGCGUGCUGGGCCUACUAUGUAUUGACCGGAACGAGUCCGCCUUGCAAACGACAUGGUAGGUGGGCUGGCCUCCUCCUUGGCAGCGAUGGCGGGCAUCAGCGGAUCGGAGGGCAUGGUCUGAACCCGCGGUUCUUCGGCCAGAACAAGCAGCUGGACAUCUUGGCGCUGUUGUUCAUGGAGGGCGAUGAAGGUUGGUCCAACCAAUGGUGGCCUGGCGAGCCUCGUGGCGCUGGUAAAAUUGCUCACUACCUUUUCUCUUUUCGUGUCUUCUUCUUUCCCAUGAAGGUCACAUAAUCCCUCUAAUUUUUACUUCUUGCUCCAUAAUUCUUUUUUCUUAGUGGAAUGGAAGAAAUCAGAUGAUUAGACCUUUUGUUAUUUUGGACCAUUGAAUUACUUGAUGGUCAUCUCUUGCAGAUCUCUGAAAUGGAAAAAGUAAUAUUGCAUCAUCUCCCUGUACUCUGCAUGGUCUUAUUGGUACAGCCGGGUGGCCGUGCUCCCACAUCCCUAAACUUCAGUAAAACUAAUUUUUCUCGUUAAGGUAUAUUUAGAGCCUAAACAUAUAAAGCUUAUUUCACAAAAGGCUAUCCUAACUGUUCAAAUGGUCGCCUGUUUUCUGAUGUAAAUAGAUUUAGUUAAUGGGUUUCAGAAUCUUGACUCGUAUAAAUAUGACACUCGCUUCUUCUCUCAACCAUUUGGACAGUGAUGUCCUGUUGAGUUCAUGAAUUGGAUAUGCAUACUCUUUCUUUCCAAUGCAGGUGCUGGACAAUUUUGUGAGGCAUUUAGCCAAAAUAGAUAAUGUGCGCCAAUGCUACCAGUUUGUUAACUAUUUACUCCCUCCGUUCGGAAUUACUUGUCGUAGAAAUGGAUGUAUCUAGAUGUAUUUUAGUUCUAGAUACAUCCAUUUUCGAGACAAGUAAUUCCGAACGGAGGGAGUAUACGUCAGCAAAUAUUACAGAAAGAUGUUAUAUGGAUCUAGUGGUAUCCAGUAUGACAAAUGUGGGAAUAUCUUGUGGUCGUUGAACUUUGAAGCAGGAAGCUCUACAUGUACUUCCUCCCGCAUAAUUGCGUGAGUUAAAAAUUUGGCAAAUUCUCGAGUCAGGAAACUAGAGUGAACUAUCACUAGCUCUGCUAUUUUUAUUACCACACCUAUAAAUAUCCCAUUAAUGGUUAGUAAUUCGCGAGACCAUGAAACUCAUCUGAUGAAUACGCAUCACCGAUGCUUUUCUAAAUUUACUCAUUGUCAUACUUCUUAGACUAUUAGUUGGUCAGGCACAACACUCUUUUAAUGCAUUCUAUAGUUCUGAAACUGGUAUAAGUAUAUAUUAUCUGUACGUACUGUUAAUAUAAUGUUUGUUUCAGCUCAUGUAUGCACCAAGAAUAUGCACUAGAAUUUCUGGGCCUGCAGUUUACUCAAGGUUCUCAGAUGGCCACUUUCAUGCUUGCACGGAGGAUGCGAAGUUUACCUCGGACAGAACACUAGAUUUUAUACAUCAUUUGCAUUAUAUCUUUACCGAAAAAGGGUUUCCCCCGCUUUGUAUUCCAAAGCAACCAACAUCGAGUACAGAUAACGCUGUGGCGAGCAGCACAACACACCAAGAGAAAGAAGAAGAAACAAAUGCCAACCACGGCAGCUUGGCAAAGCGCGGAUGGACCGCCACCGCGGCGCCCACCGAACACAAAUCACCACAGACCGAGGCUCCGAUCCGCCGCGUACCAAGCAGUACCUCCAAGAAGGGAUGCAACGCCGACGACGCUGCUGCCCGGACGACUCCUCAGGUUUCCCCGGGCACGCGGAGGGAGGUGGGGGGUGGAUACCACCGACACCCUCCAGGAAGGAAUGGUGGCACCCGCAGGUGUCACCGCAUCGGGGCCGAAGCCGGCAGGGAUUUCUCCCGCAUUCCAACCCCAACCGCCCAACCGGACGGAACCGACCCGCCAAACCGACGCCCACCACCAUGCGCCAACGCAGUAGGGCCGCCACCCACGCCGCCUCGCUACGAACACCACCACGAGGCCAAGAGGACCGGAGAGAAGCUCACCACGACGGGAGCAGCAACACCGACGCCAAGCGGGAGGGAACCACCUCCACCGCCGUCAUGCGGGAGGCCCGUGCCUCCGGCACCGUCGCGGUAGUCGUCCGGACGCGGCAGCGGGGCAUGCCGGGCCACCCCUGGCCCGAAGCGGGCCCGUUAAGCCCCGCCGGCCGCGAUGUAGCAGGCCGGCGUCGUCGUCGCCGGCACCCAGCCGCUCGUCGCAUCUCCCCGCCUCCCAGAAGCCACGCAGGAGACCAUCCCCGCCGCCGGCCCGCCCAGGCCCAGAUGGGGCCCAAAGGGCCUAGAUCUGGGCUGAGCGGGCGACGCCAGAUCCCGCCGCCGCGCCGCCACGCCGCCAACGGCAGCGCCGCCGCCCAGCUGCUCGCCUGCAUGCGCCACGGAACCCCGCCGCCACGCCAGACCGCCGCCGCCUAAACGCACCACCCGGAGCAGCUCCGCCCGCGCCGGAGAGCGACCGGGAGGGGGAGGGCCAGGAGGCCGCCGCCACCAGCAGCCCCGGGGCCAAGCCGGCCGCGGGCGCCGGCGACGGCGCCAGGAAGGGAGGAGGGAGGGAGGGCCUGGAGGGAGGAGGCCUGGCGCGCGGCCGGUCGCCCGCGGGGGGGCGACGCGGUCGCGAGAGGAAAGGGAGGGAGCCUCCUUUCUCAGUGUACUACUACCAGUCCGCAUUAUAUCUUUUGAUCUUCGUGAUCCAGAAACUACCCCAUGCAUAGAGGAGGAGGAGCAGAUGGGGAGGAGGCGGGAAUCACGUCAACUCGCAGCGCUGUCGCUGGCCGUGCUGCGUCCUCUCGUCCGCAGGUGGAGGACUUUUUCCCCUUGCCGCCAUCCUACCUCCACCACUGUAGGGGCGUGUCCGGGUCCUCCGCCUCCGGCCGCCGUCGACGCAGGUUGAAACUCAUCGGGGGUGUGUGGCCGACUGGCAACGACAGUGGCAGCGAUGAUCAGGACAAGGCCGCCCAAGAAAUGCCAGACAUGAAACAAACUGACGGGUUAAUUUUCUGCCUCAACUUUACUUCACCAGUAGUUGAUUGUAGCGUGAAUUCUGCUCUUCUUCUAGGUUGUUGGGAGGAGCAACGCUGCCAGCAUGUGGCGGACAGAGCGGCUGCAGGUGCUCGACGUGGUGCCUGAGCAGGACAUCCGUGGUGAGCUGUGUUGUCUUAUUAUCUUUGCUCUUACUAUCAUGGCUGGGUUUGCAAUUUGGGGCUUUUAACUUCUCGCAUUUGAACAAAAAUGACUGGGAGUGGGGAUGGCAUGAAUAAUUGCAAUUUGUGAAUUGGCUGAAGCACGGAGGAGAAUAACUGACUGUCAAUGUGUCAAAAGUUGCUCAUAUCAACUGAAAAUAUAGAUGUUAUAUUCAGUCAUGCAGACAUAGAGUUCGUUUCUGUAUAUGAAAAUAGGAUUGUCAACGUAUGUUAUUUUGCUGUGAAUAAAUUGCAUUGCGAAUCACUUCAAAUUGUCUGCAAUAAUGACCAUUUCUUCAGAGAACAAGUGAAUAUGUAGGUUAUAGUUCAACACAUUGUAUCAUCAGUUCAUCACCCAAGACAACCUGAUAUUAGGUGAAGAAUUUCUCAUCUAUACUUGGUUCAGUGAUACUUUUUCAAUUAUGCUAAACUUGCAUACUUCUGUCAAUAGUUUAGAAAUAUAGUUAUGUUCGUUGAUUUCCUAAAGAAUUAUCCUAUAUAAGUAGUGGGUUUUUUCAGGGGCUACGCAAGUAUAGUUUGUGGAGGAUGGUAUAGUGAUCUGUUUAAUUGCGGUUCAGGAUUCUCUUAAUUUCCAAAGAUAGGCACAUCUCGCAUUUUAAUACGACGUAGCACAGUUACACUUUACUAACUAUGAUAUUUUUUCUCCUUAAUUUUGUUGAUGUAUCAUAUAUUAAACCGAUUCAAACUGUAACUAUCUGUUGACGCAAGGCUAAAAAAAGUGUGUGGAAUUGAUUUGUAAUCAAAUUUUCUCAAGGUAGGGACUUUCUGGAAUGUUUGCUGUCUAGAAAUUCCUUCCCCAGACCCCACCUUGUGUGGGAGCUUUCAGCACUGGGUAUGCCCUUUUUUUAGCUAAAUUUCUUUUCAAGCCCACCCCAAAGCUGAAGAAAUUGCCUGUUACUUUGGGAGAUAGUGGUGUUAAAUGACCUAUAUCUUGCUUCAUAUACCUUCAUACUCUGAUACAGUGUUUGACCAAACCCGAAGAAUUUUUGGAACAAAUAAGGUUGUGCCACUUCAGCGCAAGAUUUGACAAGGCAUGUGGCCACACUAGGAGGUGAUGUACUGCUCGUCUCCUACUAGAGAUUGGGAGCCAAGUUGUUUGUGUGCUUUCUAUGGUCUAUAAGGUUUUCUGAAUACAUCAGAUUUUUUAUGUUCGUUUGUAGCUUGAACCUUGUAGAUGGUUUCUAGGCUGUAGGUAUAAUUUUUUCGUGCCAAUGGCUGUAACACAUGAAAGAUCCAACAAGAUUUUGAAGCGGCGUCUUUGAUCCAGCUGCUGCACACUAUUGGCUUCCAAGGCCUUGAAGGAGAUCAUGUAUGUUAGGCUACUGACAUGACAAAAAUUUCGGUAAAAAUUGGCAAAAGUUCACCUUUGGAACUGCUCUUUAAAGUUUUUCUAUUCUGCAUUAACACUCAUGUGGCUACUAUUUUGGGAAUUCCAAGAGGUUACUAUUUCAGAUUUGUAAUUAUUGGGCACAUAGUUUGAAGCUUGUAUUAGGGCAUGUCACCAUGGCUAAGCUACUAGCGAAUGAAGGAAACUUUGCCAUGAUUUAUGUCGACUCCCUGACUCCCUGUAACAUGCAUUUUAUAUUCUUGAUUUGGAAAGUUGACUAUAUGGUCUGCACUUAAAUAGUGGAUGAAAUUAUGAUCACAGCUUAAUUCUGUGUCCUAUGGCAAGAAAAAGGGUCAUAUUUUUCAUACCAGUGGUAAGUGGAGAACAACUAAUUUUGCUUUUUCUACGUCUGCUCAAAUAAUGUUUGGUCCCGAAUUUGUCGUAUAAGAAUAAGGUAUGUCACUGAAGAACAGAAAUGCAACCUUAGUAGCAAUACUAACUUACGGCUAAACUAUGACAGGUAGUGCAGGCUACAAUGACAGGCAUUUGCAGACAAGAUUGGUGCAAUUUCAACCCCGUAAACUUUUCUCAAAAACAAAACCCCGUAAACUGAUUGUUGCAUAGUUUUUAGUUAGCUUUGAGUACUCCGGACAAUAUUAUGUUCAGUGAGCAAGCAUGUACUGGUUGAAUUGUGUUCAUCUUCUAUUUUAUGUAAUGUGCAUAUUUUUAUUUUUCAUCUUAACAAUCCAGUAUGCUUUUGCUAGGUGCUUUGAACAGAAACAAUGGCAAUGAGUUCAAGUCAUAGCCAAUGAGUAGUGAAAGAGUAGGGAAAAUCACAAGAACCAUUAAUUUGAAUGUCCUAUUAGUCCAAAAUCCAGUUGUUUGAGAAAAAUACAGCUAAACAUGAGUGUUACCAAUCCUUUAAAAGGCAAAUGAAGAGCAUUGUAAGCACUAGCUUAUCAUGUCAAAGGGUUGGGCCAAGAUUAUGCAUAUAUUACAAAAAAAGUAAAAUCAGUUGAGGGAGGGUAAAAGCCGGAUAAAUGCAACUAGAGUGAUAUCAUUGUGUUGUUCCGUGGCAACGCACGGGCAUUCGGCUAGUUCUUCUAGAUCCUAAAUAAACAAUAGUUGUUUCCUUGCUAGGAACAAACUUAUAAGAGAAAGCACAGCCAAAGCAUGAACCUAGCAAUUAAGUAAAGAUGUAAGAUAGCCAGAUAAGACGCAAUUCUUUAUCACUUUACUGAUGAGGCUUCGUGCACACUUGAGAGAGAACCUGGGGACGGCUUGGGUGGCAGCUAUGCGACAGAGGCCAUAGAACCUGUGUUUGCUGCUGCUACCGUGCAUCUUAGAUUUAGGAGGGCAAUGGUGAGCUCGCUGGAGAGUUGACAGAGAAGGCCUCGACUUUGUCGGGGAUUGCUCCCAUCAGAAACCCUCCUUUUGUCGCCGUGCGCGACGAAGAGAAGAUGAGCGGGGAGUGCAGGCAGGGGCCGCCGGCCCGCCGCCGGCGUGGCGACGAGAGUCCAGCGGCAAAGAUAGGGCAGCGCGGGUGUGGGAUAUGGAGAAGGAUGUCGGGCCAUGGUCCUCGUCCAUCGCCGGGCAGGAAGGGGGCGGGGGAUGGAGGCGGGCCGCCACACGGUCGCCGGUCGAAGAGGCCGCCGCCCGCCGUGAAGCCUCUUGCCGCUCACGUUGGUGCUGCCUCCGGCAAACCGGGCAACACCAGUGCCACACGUAUCUGUGUCCGGUAAGGCAGCUGCCGGCAGCUCGCUGUCGAAACCUCCCACCGCUCGCCUCCGAAAAACUGCUCGCCGCUUGGAUCCAAGAAUGCCGGGGUUAUCCGUUCUUUUUUUUACCCUUUUUUUCGUUUGAUGGACCGAAAGGGUGGGUUAACCGUCGCCUUGAAAAAAAACUUGACAGGACAGCGGUGUGGCGUUUGUGAUGGAGUCAGGGUUUCGGUUAGGUGGGUCGCUCGACCCGGGUGAUGAAUAAGUAAUUCUUCACCCUGGGUUACCAAUAACUAUAUAUCUUCCCUAUCUUUCCCUACUAAUAAACCACGCAUUGCUUCUGGUCGUCCGUCGUGGCAAUUUUACAAAAAAGUCCCUCCUAUUUUGGAUAUUCAACCCGCAGUACAAUCUGAAGUGCUAUUGUGAGAAAACGUUUCGUUCUUACAAAAAGGACACUGUGUUUUUAUAUUCAACAAAGUGGUUAUUGGCGAGCGAAGCGAGCUGGAGGUCGAGACUGGCCGCGAUGCAGACGACGCCGGGCACGGCGACGGCGAUCUCCGGCCAGAUCCGGCCGAGGAGGCGCGGCGGCGGCCGGAUCCUGUUGCAAGUACGGCGUGGAGGCGAUCUAGGAGGCGCGGGAGGAGGUCCAGCGGCGGGGCUUGAACUCCAAGUUCAUGGCGGUGGCGUUCCUCGCCGGUUUCGAUCGAGAUGGCGAGCUCCGACAGGGUCUCUCCAAGGCGACGGCGGUGCUGCACCUGUGAGAGAGAUAGAGGUAAGGGGGACAGAAAGGAAGGAGGAGAGGGAGGGAGAAACACACCUGCAUUAGUUAGAAUUCAACCCACAAUCCUUUAUUUGUGUAUCUUAUCUAGACGCACGCGCCCAUUCGGUCAUGCGCCGCCGGCAGCCUUCUUCGGCCUCCGCCAGUCCUAGCCCUGUCGUCCGUCCGGGACGGCGGCGGAGAUGGCUACGGCCGCUACUGAGGGUGAGAAGGCGGUCGCCGUUCCUCGGACGGGAGGAUGGAGGAAGCCUCGCCGGGAGGAUAUUGGCCCGAUCUGGAGCGCUAGGUGGGCGGCCAGAUCGAACGACAACAGAGGAGCUCCAAGGCGCCAUCGUUGCGCGUUCUCCAAGCCACCACGGCCGCGCACUACAGGAGUGGCGGGGCGACGCCAAGCCGUUCUUGGGCACUCUGGAUAGAGAAGGGAGAGCAGCGCGUCAGGUAGAAUGGAGAAGAGGAGGAAAUGUGCGGUGGGUGUUGCUAGAUGUUGUGUGGAUAAGGGACACGUGGUGGGUAAUGGGUGUUGUGCUAGAUGUUGUGCUGGACCGACCGAAGCUGCUGGAUCAAUGCACCGAUUACAAUUUGGGAAACGUUUCAGAACGGCGCGCCGGCCGAACGAUUCGGCCGGUCGCGUUGCGUGCGCUCGAUCAACCUACACAGAUCGUGCGUCUAUCGCACGCCUCCUGUGUUUUCUUCUUCUUUGUCUUAUCUUCUUCCUUCCAUCUCAACUGAUCACCUUCUAUCCUCUUUCCCCGGCGAGCACCAACAGCCUCCUGUGCAGCCGUGAACUCCCCUCGCGGCCGCUGCAAACCAGCACAGAAACCCAAUCCCAUGCCGUUUUCGCUGCAACCUCGUCGCCAUGGCAGCGCCCUCGCGCCCCGCGCCUGUCGCCGUGGCCGCGCGUGAUGGGGGCCAGAAUCGGAUGCUGCAACCUGCAAGCCAAGCGGUGCGACGAGCGAUGGCCGGAGCUGCGACCGGCACCACGCAAGUGGAAAAGAAUUGCAACUAUUGAUAGAAAUGUUUCAACAGUAGAUAUUAAAGUUUCAACCAUAGUUGCUUUUUGCUACUACCGGCGAAAUUUUUGCUACAUCCAUCAAGGCGGAGCCGAACCUCGCGACGGCAGCGACGACGAUUUGCUGCAGCCGUAAUCGGUUUUUGCUACUACCGGUGAAGUUUUUUGCUGCAUCCAACAAGGCGGAGCUGUGACCUCGCGACGGAGACGAUGAUGAUUUGUUGCAACCAUAGUCGUGUUUUGCUACAACCGGCGAAGUUUUUUGCUACAUCCAUUCAAAGGCGUUGAUUGACUGGUGGGCGUCGCCGACGCAAUUCCGUUCAGCGAGCAUCAACGGCGAGGGGCGGUGGCGGAGCUACAACCAGAGCUACAACCGUCGCCGCUGAGAGCUGCAACCACAGGUGGAGCUGUUGCAUGGGUCGAGGUAACGACGAGGACGACCAGCGAGGGUAGGGACCGGCGACGAGGGCGGCCGGCGAGGAUGGGGACCGACGACAAGGAUGGUCGGCGAGGGUGGGGACCGGCGACGAGGACGACCACCGGAGGGGCAGCGCGGGACGGCUAGAUGCAAGGAGCUGCAGGAGGGUAAGAUGCGUGAGGAGGAAGAAAAUCCGGGGCGAAUCAUUUUUUUUCUUUUUUUGCUAGAUCAAACGGCCAGGAGUAUUGGCAUCCUGCGGCCAGGGCGCGACUGGCCCAAACUUUGGGCCGGCGCGGCGGCGCAGAUCACUCGCCUUACAAUUUUUAUGCGGGAUGAGCACUUGCUUGCUUCUGUUUGGUUGUUAAUUUAUUAUAUAUAUUUAUGCCUACUACGUCUUACGAAUACAUUAUCUGAUACACUCCCUCUGUUUCUAAAUAUAACUUUUCUUAAAGAUUCUAAUGUGAACUAAAUAUGGAGCAAAACAAGUGAAUCUACACACUAAAAUACAUGUAUAUUCAUCUGUACGUAGUCCAUAUUCAAAUCUCUAAAAGACUUAUAUUUAGAAACAAAGGGAAUAAUAAUUAAAAGUGAGUGACAUAUUGAAAAAUAAAUUCUUAAAGGAGAUGAUAUUUAGGUCUCACGGUUACUUGCUGAACAUCAAGAUAUUCCUCAACUCUAGAUGGCAUCGAUGUCUUGGUGAGAUUGGGAGGAGACAGCGAGGGAUGAAGAGUAGAGAGAGUACGAGAACAGCGUCUUGCUCGCGUCUUGUUUCGCCCCGCAUGGCAGCUAGGAGGGGGGGGGGGGACACUCCCUUCUGUUGUACCAUCUAUCUCGCAAUUUUGUCUACCCUAAUCCUUAUCCCAUCGAGGACCGUUGAUAAUGUCCAUGGAAGUGGUCAUGUUGGCAUGGAGGGUGUGCUCGUACUACUAGCCGCAACGUGUCAAUAAAAGAGCGCGAACCACUGUAAACUCUUUACUUUCUGGCCACCAUAAUUUUGAAGUAGGAAUGCAUAAAUAUUAAUGUUAAUAGGGAUUGGAAGAUAUAGGAAUUGAUAUAUUACUUAUUUGAAGGUGCUAUAGGUAUACGAAUGAUGCACAAUUACGUACGCAUCGAAGGAUCGAUAAAUGUAUAGAUUUAUGUAAUUACUUUAACGCGGGGUUGUUGAAUAUCAACAACUUGUUACACGUAAUCCAAUUUUUUUAGAGCGAGUCAAAUGCGUGGGUUUUAUUAGCAGAACAGAAAAAGAUUACAAGCUUUUGAAAUACAACUGAAUCUUCACAAAGUGGAUUCUUAUGAGUCUUGCAAUUGAAAAUCAUAUUAUUCAGAUUGACAGAUAGUGGUGGACGCAAGAAUAAAAUGAAGGGUGUGCACGCUCUAAAUUUUUUUGCUACCUAAUCCAAGUGUCAUACAAAAUAUGCGAAAGAAUAAAAUUAAUAGCCCAAAAAUAUCACAACAAUUUAGUUUAUAAUUUUUGGAAAAACAUCAUACGGGAAGCCAUGACAAUGAAAAAACACUAAUAGCGCCCGCCUGGGUCGGCGCAGCUUGCGGCUGCGCUCUAUGUCUCUCGCUCGCUUGCUCAGGACUCGGCAGAAGGUGGCUGGGCCUCUGCCAAUUCGAUUCAGGCCAAGAGAAUUAUAUGGUAAAAAGGAAAUUCGCAAAUUUGUAGAUGUGCCACGGUACACCCGGUAUACCCCGUGGGUACGUAAAUGUUAACAGAUAAACUCUCGAAUACCACACGGACUCUUAGAUUUAUUUUAUACCCAUGGCAACGCACGGGCUUUUUACUAUAAUAAUAAUAAAGCGAUUACUGCUUCUGGUCGUACGUCAUCGACAUUUUUGCGAAAAAGUCCUUUUAUUUCUUUGAAAUCAACCCGCACUCCCUAUUUAAGUGGCACUCUGGAAAAACGUUUCGUUUUUACGUAAAAACCACUGCAUUUGUUGGAAAUCAUGCACGCGACCCUUAUCUCUUAUUGGACUGGCUCACCACCGCGCGUACGCUUAUCCUGCCGUUCUUCACCGCCGGGCACGCGCCGCCGCUUGCCGCCAGCGUCGACCCAUGUUAAAGGCUGGUCGCAGCGGAGGCCUCGGUAGGAAGAUUCGAGGCGGUCUCGGGCGCGACGGGGAGCUGCCGGAGCGCACGGACGACGGGGGCUCGUGCAGGAGGCGAAGACCGACGGGGAAGUUCAGAGGGGCGGCUGGUGUGGCCAAGCUAAGGAGGCGGCGGUCUGAGCCGGCUUGAGCCCACGGACGACAGCUCUGCUUGCUGACAUCGGCCGGAGGCGGACGGGGCUGGCUCGCGAGAUCCACACGGGCACGAGAGGAGACUGGAGGAGAGGGCCAGGCAUGGCUUGGCGGGCGCGAGAUGAGGCUGGAGGAGAGGCCGAGGCGUGGCUUGGCGCCUACCAGAGCCACGAGGCCGCCGCCGCCGGCGUCGGACGUCCAAGUCAGUCGCGGCAAACGGCCGUUGCAGGUGUAAGGACCAAAGCAAGGCAACGACACAAGGCCGGGCAUCGGAGCAGAGCAAAGGAAAUAAGAGACACACACAGAGGAGGGGAGAGCGACGAGGGAUCUAGCGGCGGCACUCGCUCCGGUGGAACGUGGAGCGCCAGCAACUUUGGUGGAGGCUUCACAUCUGCGCCUGUGUGACACUAUUGGCAGAUCCGGCGGCGAUGCUCGCGCUCGCUCCGGUGGAACGGGGGAAGCCAACAACUUUGGGUGUGGAGGCUUCACAUCUGGGCCCGCCUCACACGAUUGACACAUGCCGGCAACCUGGGAACGAACCUCGCCUGGGCAGCCAGCUCACAGCGCGGCUAAUCCCGCUGGCUGCUUGGUCUAAGAAUAUCGGUGGAAGCACCGGAAUGAGAAAGAGAGAUGGAGCGAGAGAAAGAAGAUGGAUGCAGAUGCUUCUCGGUGGACACAGACGAAUGGAUAAGGAUAAGCUAGCUAGCGGUGGAGGUACACGUUGAUGGUCUGAUGGGUGUUACGUGCCGGUCAGUAGGCCCCAAGCCCCCAACAUUGUUUUGUCAGCCGGUUAUAGUAUUUCUUUUUCUAAUUUUUGUGAGGGGAUUAUAGUAUUUCUUGCGCUUGGGCCAACAUUUAAUCUUCCAAAUCAAACAAACCUUCCAUUAAAAAACUACAUGAUCAAAAUCAUUAGCAUUCAAAUCUUUUGAUAAUUUGAUAAAAUAUUUUAAAUGAAUUAUUAAACUCUCGAAGAGUAUGUAAGGGCAUCUUCAACACCGAGCCUCGAAACGACCACAACCGUCCGGACCUCAUGGUCCAGACGUGUUUUGCCAUUCAAUGCGGGUCUAUAUCGGUCUGUCGACCGGCCCGGACUUACUUUCUCCCGCAAUCCGAAAACAAAUUGGGGGCUUUGCGGGCAUCCGAACCGCUGUCACGCUUGAUUCUAUCUGCCAUGGCCCAUCCAAAAAAUCCUCCUUUGCCCAUGUCCCUCCCACCCGAAGUGGCCAGCGCCGCUCCAAAGCAUCGAUCUUGCAUUCAUGCCGGCUCAGAGCGACGCGACCUCUCAAUGGCCCUUUGGCAUUGAAGCGGCGCCGGAAGAGAAUGCAGCCCACGCUGUUUCCCGGUGCACACUGCAACUCCACGUUCAAAUGAGAACUCAUCAUUCCGCCUCCCUACAUUAAACAUGCGUAGUUGCCGAAGAACCUACUCCGGCGCCACAGGUUCGUUCAUCUACUACCAGCCAUUAACCACCUCGUCGCUUGCCCUGUCAUGCACCGACUAUUUAAACUCCAACCCCAGUCAUAGACGCAUCAAUCCUCCUCCUCACCGCACCACGACCAUCAUGGCCUCCUUGAGCUCCAAAGCCAUCUGGGACAACCUCUCGUCCGACCAAAAGACUGAGAUGCCGCCAUUGCUGCCGGUUUGCAGGCCGCCAGGCAGACGGCGGUCGGCGCUGCGGACAUCCCAAUGGAAGAUGUGACCGAUGACGGGCGACGCCACCCUCCUUGCCGGUCCAUGCCGACAUGCCCGUGCAGGAGGCCUUGUUCCGACGGGCUCAAGCCGACCAGGAGUACAACCUCCACCUCCUCAAUGAGCUCUGGUGCGCGAUGGAGCAACUUGCCACCGGCACGGAGCGCCAGACAUGGACCAGGCGGAGGAGAAGGCGCUGGUCGACUCCUAUCGCACGGCCUACAAAUUCCGCCGCGGCUGUUGGCGGUACCGCCAGCAUCAGUCGGAGAUAAAAGCGGUCUUCAAGGAGAUCGGUGAGGCGGACGACGAAGUCUAUGGAAAGAGCGAGGACGAGGAAGACGUUGCUAGCCCCGCCACGCCCGCGCCUCGCCGCCACGACCACGAAGCCGGCACGUCCAAGGGCGCUGGCGACGGCGAGGAAAAGUAUAUCAUGGGAGUUCACCGGUGCUCGGACACCAGGAAGGCCACUGCCCUUUAGCUCCAGCUGAAGCCAAGCUUGACGGGCUCAAAAUCGUCGGCCAGUUAGCCGCUUGUGGGCUGUGGAGGCGGAGGUGGAGUUUUCAGUUCCCAGGGCUCAUGGUCGGCCGGAAAUGGGUGAACGGGUGUUGGCGGACAUUUAGACUAGGUUUAGAGUACGAUUUAGUUCAAAUAUGUCGAAAUGUAAUUAGUUUGCUCCGGUCUAUAUGAAAAGCAUCUGGUUUUGUCUAAAAAUUAUUCAAGUACGAAUGAAUAUCAUCCGGUUUGUUUUAAUAUCCAUCAAAUUUGUUGACUUUCGUUAAAUUUCUUCCGAAAUGCAACCGGACAUAUGCGGAUAGCUUUGGAUGGUUGUCUUCCGCACCAGUGUCCGUGUGCUGCCCCCCGCCCCCUCCCCGGCCACAUGCGGACGGAUGUGGUGUCCUUUUUGCAGGUCAACGUUGGAGAUGCCCUAAAAAUCACAUGUAUGUUUCUCCCGCUAAAAGACUAUCCCAUGCAUCUGUAAGACUCAGAUUGUAUGUUUCUUCUAAAAAAAAACUAUUCCAUGCAUCACUACUCUUUCCUUUGUUAGAAGUGCAGAGCUUAAGCAUGCGUCAAUGAAAGACGUUAGGGUGACUUCUCACAUGAACACUUUAUAAUCCAAAUAAGUGAAGCGUAGUGACAUGUGAAGUAGGGUUUUUUCAAUUUUUCCACCCGUUGCAACGCACGGGCAUUCGUACUAGUAUGUGUAUAUAUAUAUAUAUAUAUAUAUAUAUAUAUAUAUAUAUAUAUAUAUAUAUAUAUAUAUAUAGGCAAAAAUGUGUCUAUCAUAGCUUGCUAGGGACAUAGCUAUCAUGACCACACAAUGCAUGCGCCGUGAUCCGUGCUGAACUUGUGAGGGUAUAUAAGUACGACGAAACUAUUAGAGUACCUGUGCUGGUGAUGAGCGUGAUGGCCGUGCAUUGACCUGCAUCGCCUGUCCAAACUGUGCCGGCCAUGUGUCCGACGACCUCGUCCAUCCCUGAUCACCUCUUCCGUGCAAUCAGACGCACAUACACAGACAUGCAUGUGCUGUAUUAUACUUGAACUUAAGAGCUUCUGAACUCUCUGAAUCUGUGUGCAUGUUUUUAUAUUGUGUCAUUGCAUAGCUCCACCAUUGAAUUUUGAAAUUCAGUCAAUGCUUAAACUUGAUAAAAAAGAGCAAGAAACAGUGACAGAUUAUGUGUGUUUUUCACGGAAGUGAGCUGGGAAUUUAGAUGUUCCUUUUCAUAAUAUUAAGGGCAUCGAUCAUUCAACUUUUUAUGUUAUCUUUCGUGCUCUGACAUGAGUGAAGUUAUGUGAACUAGCAUAGUAUAUUGUAAUUUUCUGAUUUUGAGUCAUGGCAUAUAGUCCUCACACAAAGUAGUUGCAAAUAUAUUGAAGUAUAUUAUGCACAUAGUUAUCCUCCCUAAUGCCUAAACUGGUACCUUUUCAAUCUUUGUGCUGACUACUAAACAUAAUUAUUGUAGGUCUUCCCUGGCCCAUGGUCAUGCGAAAGUGGUGUUGCUCCGGCAAGCUCCUCUAUCCCCCGAGCACAGUGCUGUCUAUGAUGGUCUCCUCCCUCCUGUUCCCUCAGCAAGGAUGAUGUCAUUUUUUUGCGAAACAGAAAGUUAUGUAGUUCUUCAGUAUAUGUCCAUAGAAACCUAUGACAAUUUCUUCAGUAGCAGUUCAACAAAAAAUCAUGCUGUAGUUCUUGAGUAUUGUUCCAUUAGAAUUUCAUGUUAUCUAAGUAUUUUUAGUACUUGCUAUUGCAGAUAAGUGUUUGUUAGAAUUGUCAUUCUGUCAGUAAAGUACCAUUCUUCAGUAUAUGUUUUGGAAAUUUCAUCUUUUGUGUGCCUAGUGUGAAUCGUUGGUCUUCUCUCACUUUUGCUCCUGAAUUGGAGGUAGCAUGUUGAUUUUCGCACUUGAUGAAGAACAUAUCCUAAAAUGUGAAAAAAAAUGUUCCCCAAUGAAUGAUUUAUUGUUCGUAAAGAUCUAUUUUAUUCCAGAGUGAUGAAGUUUUGCUCCUAAACAAAGAACUUUAUGUUGUUCCUAAAUGAGGAGGUAGUAUAGGGAACUACAUGUACGUGUUUUUCCGAAAACUUUCUUAAACCAUUUUUGAUGAAGUAUAGGGAACUUCAUGUACGUGUUACUCCCAAAACGAUAUGAAACUUUGUGUGUACAAUUUUUUAAUAUACCAUAUUGAUUGAUAACUAAAAAGGGCAUGCUUUUUUAAUAAUCAAGAAGUUCAACGACUUCCACCUAGAAAGUUCAAAAGACAUUAUUUUUGAGGGAGAACACAUCCUGCCUAGAAGUUGCAUAUGGAAUAAAAUGUAAAUUCGCAAUGAAGUUCAUAUAUAAAAAAAGUUGAAGUUUGCAUAGAGAAAAAGGUGCAUUUCUGAAAAAAGGUACAUGUUUUCUAAUUCCAGAUGCUUAUAUGGUCGUCCUGUGACACUGGAAUCUUUUUCAUUUUAGGUGAGCCCAAUUUUUGUGUGGAUGUGUUGUGCCUGUGCUUGUGGGUAGUACACUGAAUAGAACAAAAAAGAAUAUUAUGGGUGCCCUCUAAAUGUUUGUCCUACUGCUUAGUAGAAUUGACCCAAAAUUUCCUAUUGUUUUUGCACAUGUUGGAUUCAAGGGAAAACGUGUAUAAAAAGGUAGUAUUUCGAAAUUUCGGGUGUAACGAACAUCGAAGUUCAAACCAAUAAAAUGUAAACAAAAAAUCAUGGAUUCAAAGAAUAAAAACUAUGGAGUUCAUGAAAAAAAAUAGCACCCGAAGUUCAUGUUUCAGAAAUUCCAAAGUUCACGUGUACCACCUACAGAAGGAAAAUCAUCAAAUGAAAAAAGGGACCGCCUAGGCCAUUUCACCGGAAAGCAAAAAAUGCAUAAAAAUGUCACGACAAAAUUCUAUAAGAAGUUCAAAUUUAAAAACCGAAGCAGGUCAAUGUUAACAAAUGAAGUUGUUAUUAUCUAAAAGACAAAUUUGGAAGUCCAAAAAAAUUUGAGCAAGAAGUUAAAAAAAAGUAGUUCAAAAAUCUUUAUAACGGAUUUUCCCCAUUUGUAAAAAAAUAGAGAAGUUCAAAUUAAAAAGAUGAGCAUUUCAAAAGAUUGUAUGAAAAAUGAUUUUCCCCAUUUUAUAAAAACUAGAAGUUCAAAUUAAAAUAACGACACGGUAUCAUUGUUUAUAUAAAAAAAGCAUAUUCCCCGUUACUAACCAAAAAAACUAAGAAGUUUAGAUUUAAAAAAUGGUGAAGUUCGAUGUCUAUAAAAAAAUCGCAUUUUUCACAUUAUUAAAAAAUAAAACCAAGAAGUUCAAAGUUUUAAAACAAAGAAGUUCAAAAAACUCGAUUUUCCUCAUUACUAAAGAAUAAAACUAAGAAGUUCAAAUUAAAAUAACAGAGAAGUUCAAAGUAUAUAAAAAACUCAAUUUUACCAUUAUUAAAGAAUAAAUGAAGAAGUUCACAUUUAAAAUAGGAACACCAAAAAAAGAUCAAGUGCUCUGUACGGAGAAGUUCAAAAAUUCUUGCGAGAGAGGUUCACAUUGUAUUUCCAUGUUCAAUUUUUUUCGUAUAAAAAUCGAAUACAAUUCUCUACUCAUAGUAUAAAAAGGUGAAGUUCAAAUUGAAAUAACAAAGAAGUUCAGAGUUUAUUAAAACCUAGGAUUUACAUGUUCAAUCGGUAUAUCAUUUGCUCAAUUCUGGUAAGUGGUUGGGGAGUUAUAGGUAAAAAACUACAUGUGAAAAACAGAGUGAAGUUCAAAAAGAACUACUCCAGAAGUUCAACCUCUUCACGAAGUGCAUUUUCGGAGACUCUGUUUUUUCGAUGAAGGCUGAACGCAUGAUCUCAGAAGUUCAGAUUGAUAACUGUCAGAAGUUCACGUACUACACGGUGUGCAUUUUGGAUUAAAAAGAGAAUGAAAAUGCAAAGCCUAAAGUUUUGUUGGUAGAAGUUCAUGUGCUCGGCCCGAAAGAGUUCAAAAAUUCUUGUGAGAGAGGUUGAACAAAAAUAACUGACGGAAGUUUAAGGUGAAAACAACGAGAAGUUCAACUACUGUAAGGAAUGCAUUUCGGGUGAUAAUAAAAGUAUAUAUAAAUAAAAGCUUAAAAUGUUUGUUGAAAGAACUUCAAGUGCUCUAUCUGGGGAAGUUCAAACAUUCUCUCAUUCCAUUACAAAUUUGGAACAAAAAUGCUCUACAUGAAAAAGUUAUUUUCUAUUCAACAACUUUCCAAAAGGGGUAUAUUGUAUGCUCUAUUUGAAGAAUAAAACCAAGAAGUCCAAACUAAAAUAACGGAGUAGUUCACUGUAUAUAAAAAACUCAGAUUUUUCUUCAUUACUAAAAGAGUAAACCCAAGAAUUUCAAUUUAUAAUAGUAUAGUGGGUUGAUGUUUUUUUACAAAAAUUGGAUUUCUCCCGUUACUAAAGAAUAAACCAAGAAGUCCAAUUUAUAAUUAUAGAGUAGUUCAAAAUUCAAAUAACUCAGUUUUCUAUACAUAAACUUUCUCGUGUCGCCACCUUGCACCUCAAGGCGCAGAAUAUGGUAAGGAUCCACUAAAAAGAAGUCAUAUUUAACUGUAGAGAAUUGGAAAACUCCAUUUGGGCAAUAGACUCGAAAUGGGCAUUAAAACUACUCUUAAAAUACGAUUCACUUUUUUUGUAUGAAUAAAAAUAGUUUUAAAACUGCUCUUAAAUCGUGUACAUUUUGCCAAAAUUUAACUUGGGUCAUGAUACUCGUGUCCAUAGCUUUCCAACGGUAUAUUGCAAGCCCCAUUUGGGCAAUGUUUGCGGAAGUUCAACCUAGCACUUGGAGAAGUUCAAGUGCUACUGCUGCGGCAGGUUAUGUAGUUAUCAGAAUAUUAUUCUCAUCACCUGUUCAUCACGACCUGAGAGCAAAUCCCCCAAUGAGGGAGAUUCCUAUUUAAAAUGGGCAUUUAGUUGCUAAAAAUCAUUUCCGGAUUACACUUACAUCACAUAGAACACGGCUGACCAGAAUAAUUCGCGCGGGGAGAAACGGUUGCAAAGAUAACCCGAAGGUCGGGUUCCUACAGAGGGAAGUUCAGGUUGUGUAACUCAAGAAGCUCGAGAUUUUUCCCGUUACUAAAUGAAAUAAAACCACAAAGUCAAAAUUAAAAAGAUGGAGAUGUUCGAUGAUUAUAGAAAACUCAGAUUUUCCUCGUUAUUAAAGAAUGGAAACCAGAAGUCAAAAAAUCAAAUAACAAGAAGUUCAACUUUUAAAAUAGAGCGCUUCAAAAUUUUAGAAAAAAGAUUAAGAAAAAAACUGGAAGUCCAUAUUAAAAAGACGAAGAAGUUCGAUGAUUCUAAAAAACUCAGAUUUUCCUCGUUAUUAAAGAAUGUAAACAAGAAGUUCAACUUUUAAAAAUAGAGCGUUUCAAAAUUUGAUAAAAAAGAUUAAGAAAAAAAAUCAGGAAGUCCGUAUUAAAAAGAUGGAGAAGUUCGAUGAUUAUAGAAAACUCAGAUUUCCCUUGUUAUUAAAGAAUAGAAACAAGAAGUUCAAAAAUAAAAUAACAAAAAGUUCAACUUCUAAAAAUAGAACGCUUCAGAAUUCAUAAAAAAAGAUUAAAAAAUUUAGAUUAAUAUUCAUAAAAAACUCAUAUAUUUUCACGUAACCGAGAGAAGUUCAGAUGCUAACUGCCAGAAGUUCACGUACUACACGAUGUGCAUUUUAUAUUGAAAAAGAAUAAAAAACUAAGACUAAAAGUUUAGUUGUUAGAAGUUCAAGUCCUCGGUUGGAGAAAAUUAAAAAAUUAUUGUGAGAGAGGUUUGUACAAAAGGAAUAUCAUUUGUGUAAAACUGACGAAUGGAUGAGAAAAUUACAAACAAAAAUACGUCACCGAAGUUCAAUGUGAAAACAGCAAGAAGUUCAACUACUACGUUGAAUGAAUUUCAUAUGAAAACUUUUAAAAUCGUCGCGAGUAUGAAAAAUAAUCAACAUGGAAAAAUUGCAUGUUUAUAGCAGCUUUCCAUCGGUAUAUCACUUGCUCAAUUCCGGUGAGUGGACGGAGAGCUACGAGCAGUGGAUGGAAAGCUACGAGCAAAAAAACACGUGAAAAACAGAGUGAAGUUCAAGUAGACACGCCCAGAAGUUCAAAUUCUUUACGCGGUGCAUUUUCAAAGAAUUCGUUUCGCGAUGAAGGCAAAACGCAUGAUGUCGUUGUUUUCUAAAUUACUUAAAAACGGCUUGGAAUCAGAGAAAAUCAUCAACAUGAAAAACUUUCGCAUUUUUCGUAGCUUUUCAGCGGUAUAUUAUUUGCCCCAUUCCGAUAAAGUUUGUAGAAAUUAAGGCAAAAAUACGUUUUUAGCCAUUUUUAAAUUUGACUUAAAACAAUAAGGAAUUGAGAGAAACAAUAUAUAUGAAAAAGUUUCGCAUUUCCUCAAGCUUUCCAACGCAAUAUCACUUGUUGCAUUUGGACGUAUGGUAUAUUGCAAGCCCCAUUUGGACACCUUUUAGCUGAAGUUCAACCUAGUACUCGGGAAAGGUCAGGCGCGUUACUCGGAAAGUUCAUGCUGUGAUCAGAAUAUUAUUCUGAUCCCGUGAUCAAAAUAGUGUUUAUAUAUAUAUAUAUAUAUAUAUAUAUAUAUAUAUAUAUAUAUAUAUAUAUAUAUAUAUAUAUAUAUGACAGGUAUAUAGAUCAACGAUGGCGAGGAAGUGAUAUGCCGUGUAUGUAGAGCAUGUUUCGGGUGUGUAUGAUGAGUGGCCAUAGUAUCAGGCCCAGGUCUCUGGCUUCUCCGGCGGAAGUCAAAAAGGGUUUGAUAGUAGAGCGGAAGCCGAAGCUAGUUACUUGACAUUCAUAGCACAACAGGGGAUUCAGAACCAGCGCCGCUGCAAAAACUACUACAUAAUAUCGCUUUUGAUCAUCGUGAUUUCUCUUAUCUUCUAUGUGGUCAUAUCAUAGUCUACAUAGAUGAUGAAACUUGAGUAAUGUGACCAUGUAGUUGCAUGUAUUGAGAACUUGUAAUGACUAGUAUCGGUAUUUCGAGACAUGUGUUCGACCAUGAUUGAUGAUGAUGAGAUACUUGAGACAUGUCGAGACUUCUAAUAACUUUGGUUCAUCGAUGACUCACUUGUUUUUCAAUGAAUAUGCAUGUUAUUGUAUAAACGGUGAAUUUGUUUCAUUGUGUGCAUAGCCAAAAUGCAAAAAAAAUUGCAAAAGUUACCAGUGGCGUGGGGGUAAAGAUUACCAGUAGCACUCAAGCAACAGUACAGCUGGCUAAUAACACGCGUUGUAGAUAAUUAUCAGUAGCGCUGGGAGGAAGCGUGCUACAGCUAGCUUUAGAUACCAGUAGCGCUGGACAAAACAAGCGCUACUGCUAAAAAGUAGUUGUAGCGUCGUAGCAGUAGCGCGCCUGCCCGCGCUACUAAUAGCAAAAAAAAACAGCGCUACUGCUAAGGGUUUUCCUAGUAGCGGGGGGUCGGUUAGAGUUGGCCCAACGUUACUAGAAAUUGUCUUAGCAGUAACUUAUUAUAUUGUCCAUUUGCAAAUAAGAAGACCUAAUAAUGUCAAUAAUUAUCCAUCUGCCCAUUUGUAUAUCGAAUCUUUUAAGCUAUAAAUUUUGCGGACAUGCAAACAUGAGUUACUAUGUACGUGCCUCUUCGUACUAUCGUGGGGCCUUGGGUCUGAACGAGGUACGGACAUCUCUUUCGGCAACUUCAAGCACGUGGCAGCUAAUUAAACACGUGCACGGGCGGAAUUGGGCCUGGAGCAACUGGGGCUAUAGCCCCAGGCGUGGCCCAACUAGUGGUUAUAUUUCCAGUUGAUUUUUUUCUAUUUUUGUACGCAUAAACGGCCCAGCCCCAGCCAUGUAGACGCAGCCCAGGCAUCAACCCAUAUAAUAGCGCAAUAUACACGUAGCUUUCCAUUGCUACCAGUUCGCAAUUAUCCCACGAUGUCAUGAUCGCUAGCCCAACCACACCGUUUCAUCUUCUCGCUCGUCUGAUCAGGAAAUAGAUCUCGCUCAAGCGAUCACACUGCGCCGCCAAUUCCCCUAGAGGCGAUUGCUCGACUAGACAGACGAAAGUCCAGACCUACGCCCAAUCGGCUGGCGCUCAGAGCCUUGGAUCGGAUCAUCUCUCGCAUCAUCGGAGCUGCCCCCUCUAGCGCUCUGUUCUGCUCCAUCUACACAAUGGACAGGAUAUCUGACAGAUUAGGUUUGUAAUCUCCUGUGCCCUCUACUCUUUUUCCCCUAGUUCGUUUUUGAUCAACCGAAAUCAUGGAAUUGGUAAUGCUAAAUUUUAUUUCUUUGUUAUUUGUUAACAGGGAAAAAAUACCAAUCCAAGAUGAAGAAGACCCGGACAAUUAAAUCUGUUUUUUAAGCAACAUUCAAACAGCCUGCAUCAAACACAUCAAUGAAUGACCAACCGAACGAGUAGGACUCAGAGAAAAAAUGCAAGGAAAUGCAAUGGUUUACUACCUCGUGCACUUUGCGAUAAAUUUAUUUUUUUGUAAUUCCUUCAUUGAACAAUUUACCUAGUACAUGUCCAUUAUCUUGAUUUUAAUUACUCUAUUUUAUGCUUACAGUUCCCGAUCCUUCUAAUAUGGAAAAAGCUUACCUUCAGCCGGCCGAUCACGCGAGCGCGUCCGCCGGCUCCGUGCCCAUCAGAUCCUCUGUUGAUUAGAUGGACAAGAGCACCCCUCGUGUUCAUGUGUUUCUGCAACUGAGUCUUUGUUUCAAAAAGAGAGUUUUGCAACUUGCUAGACUUUUUGUAGCGGCGGUGACUCGUGCGGCCGGGAGGGCGAUGGCGGCGAGGAAUCUCGCCGGAUCGGACGAGGAUGGCGCACGGGCAGGAGGCAGGGACGCCCGGGAGCCGCGGGGGCGGAGACUCGUGCGGCUAGGAGCGCGACAACGGCGAGGAUUCCAGUCGAAUCUCGCCGGAUUCGACGAGGAUGACCUGCGGGCAGGAGGUGGGGACGCCUGGGAGCGGCGGGAGCUCGUCUUGGCGAGGUCUGGCGGGGUUGACGGCGAGCUUCAUAGCAAGGACCCGCGACGACACCGGCGAACGGCGCUCCUGCUGCGAGAGAUACAGAGAGAUGAAGAAAACAGAAGAACAAGGAGGAUGGUGGCGAGGUGACUUUGGUAGGAGGUCCGGUGCUCGCCGGCGGCGGUACAAAGGUGGGGAUGGGCGGCGCCGAUCCUCCCUCACCACCAUCCCGCGAAGCUCGCGAUGAGUGACGGUUUCGGGGGAGAAUGUUUCUGAAUAAAGCCUUGUUGUAAUAGUCAGCGUGUUUCUGAAACAAAGCUCUUGUUGCAAAGAUGGACCAUAUGCAGAAAUCUUUAAAAUUCUGCAACAAGACCGUUGUUGCGAAAAAAUUAUGAAGCACGAUCUCCAUUGCAGAAAAUAAAAAAAAACAGACACGGGUGGUCUUUAAAAUUUCUGCAACAAGAUCUCUGCUGCGAAAAAUUUCUGCAAUAAGAUAUCUAUUGCAAAAAAGAAAAAUACAUGCUCGAGUAACUGCAACAAGCAGACUGUUGCAGAAACAUCACUCUUGUUGCAAAGGAUGGCUGCUUACGUUAGUUUAGUAGAUCGGACGGUCAUUAAUGUGUAAAUCCAAUGGUCAGCAAGGUGGUGGAUCUUUUUUGAAUUUCCGCCGGUGGACGCGUAGCGUCGCCCUUCUAAUAUUGCUGGUGAAGAAUGAUGUCCUCAAAUAAAGCAAGUCUUCACUAAUAUGGUAUGAGGGUUUCUUCUUACAGUAAAAAUGAGCUUAUAUUUCAUUUUUUGUUUACUAUUUCUUUUGUCGGAUUUCUUCUCUCAGUAAAAGUGAACUUAAAUUUCAUUUGUAAUGGUGCUGUACUUCUAACAUGCAUUUGUACGCGGUAUUUAACGUUAUUUGUAGUCACAAUUUUUUUAUUUAUAGUCACUUUAGUUUUAGCCUUAGGCUUUGUGAAAUCCUGAUUCCGCCUCUGCACGUGCAUGCAUGCUUGAAUAAAUUUCAAAAUACACUAGUGAAACCAAUUCGAAUCCAAGCUGUGUCCAAACGCAAAUAGACUAGCUGUAUCGAGUUGUCUGCUUUGCGUGCAGAUCGAGCGACAGCCGAAUAUAUAACUUUUUUUCUUGUGAAAAGAAGAAAAACCACAGAGCCGGAGUGUCUUCCUGGAGAGUGUGGAAUAACUUUUCUUCUUGUGAAAAGAAGAUACCAGGCCGGUGAGCCACCUUCCUUACUGCAAGUGUAAGUGUGCCGCGCGGUGAUGCUGGGCUACAACCACAACCCCACCACCCGUGUUCUCCGCAUGAACAUGACCAUGCUGUCCUUAAUCAUCUUCCCUAACCCUCUUAGUUAGUAGUAUUAGCUAGUAACUGCAUCUGGAUGCAUGCAUGUAUGUUGCAGCUGUAUGUGUUUGUCCAUGUGUAUGGACGUAGCCACUGUAAUCACCCUAUUUGUGAUCUCUGUUUGCCGCGUCCGCACGUGUCUUGCAGUUAAUAUCAACUACUCCCUCCGUUCGAAAUUACUUGUCGCGAAAAUAGAUGUAUCUAGAUAUAUUUUAGUUCUACAUACAUCCAUUUUUGAGACAAGUAAUUCCGAACAGAGGGAGUAGCACAUAUGCCGUUGCAGCUGGAAAGAAAGUAGUGUGUCCAUGAAAACAGCAUCAAACGGUGCCACCCCACGACGACAAGAAGCCGCACGGCAAAAUCUAGAUAAAAUGCAUAUCAGCAAGAACUGCUCAACUAGUGUUUGCUUUUCUCUUAAAAAAACAGAUUAUCAACACCGGUUGGUCUCAGGAAGAGUUAAUUGGCAAUGGUAGACCUACGCAAUAUUUGUUAUGCGUUGUACGUAAAUAGAGCAUUAUUUGCAAGGAAAAAAAUAGCAUGCUACAAGAUUUAGCACCGCCAUUCUCCAAAUUCUAUACAAGUUAUAGCGUGCUAUAUAUAAAAAUAGGGGCAUAAAAAUGUCAAAUAUAACACAAAAUUUAGCGUUCCAUAAUUUGCAAUGAAAGGAGACACUCCAAAUUAAACAAAGAAGCAUGCAAAAGCUAGGUUCAGGACAUGUACAUUCCUAUUUUGUAAGGAAAGAGAACACUCCUAAUUAAACAGAGAAACAUUGGUGGCUGACUUGCCGGCGCCGGUGGCGUGGUUGACUUUGGCGCUGUCUUGCUAGAGUUGAGUCAUGAAUGCCCCCAUCGUCGCUGCACUCCGUCACGAGCUGGUGGGAAAUUGGUGAUGAGUUGGCUAGGUAAGGUUGCAUGAGUUGUGUUUGCGUCUAAGAGAGGCUGAGUGUGAGUUGGGUCAAUGGGAUGCGGCGAUGCCUGAUGGACUGCUGUGUGGUACAUGAUAAAAUGCUACAACGUUAUUUUGUUUAGCGUCAAAAUAGGGUGCUAUUGCAUGAAUAGCGUCAUAGUGAGCAAAUUAGCUAAAACGUAACGUAGCCCUCCCAGAUAUACUAUAGCGAUGCUAUAAGGUCGAAAUAACAAGCUAGUUUUUUCAUUGAUUAUUAGUGGAUGAUGAGGGGGGAAGGGUCGGGGGCGGCGAGUAGAUUACAUAGGAGGCAGUUGGCGUCGGUCUUAGACCUUGUACAAUGGGAGGUGCUUAGAGAGGUGCUUACGAAAAUAAACCGAGUUUUUCUGAAGCACCGGUGCCUAUUUCUACAAAAGAGACGCUUAGUUAAGCGUCUACCCUCUAUAAAUAAGCACCGGUGCUUAAGAAAAACCUGGUUUAUUUCUCUAAGCACCUCCCCUAAGCAUCUCCCAUUGUACAAGGCCUUAGUAGCUGGUUAGGUAGAUGUAGGAUUAUCGUUUGGCGUUCCUAUUUUUCCCUUUAAACAUAAACUUGGCAGUCCUGCUCCCAUCUGUGCUCCGCCACCGUUGCCACAACAUCGUACAGCUGCACUGUUUUUCCUCUAGCGCGUUGGCAAAACAAAACAAAACAACAUGUAUUUUUCUCUUUGGUACCCGUAUCCUAUAACCGUAUGGUGCAUAUAUGGGACCACAUAUGGCCAAAUCGCGGAGUUCAUCGCAUGGCCCUUGCUGCAUGUAACUCGUCUUCUCCGGCACAGCAGCAGUGGUCGGUUAGGUGGCUCCACGCCGGCGGCGAGGACAACAGCAUGUGGCAGAGGCCGCCGGCGCAUACGCGAGCAUGUAUUCCAUGUAUGUUGUUGCAGAAACGGAACUGCCGCCGGCAGAGACGGAGUGGGAGAGAUGGAGAUGGACACGGGAGAUUUUUGCCGGGGGCUCAAACACCCCCAGCCGCCCGUACGGCGUCCUUUUUUCUCUUCCUAAGCACGAACACAAAAACUACCUGGCUCUCCCGUCGCGCCCGUACGCAGACGACGCAUCCACCAACAGCCCUGGACGCGGUCAUUCCUCCGGCUCCAUCGCCAGCAGACCAACGCACGCACACACGCAUACUCCCUCGGGCACACACACACACGCACCCGAGCCCGCCACGGGCCAGUCCCGACGCAUCCGGCGCACACACGCACACGUUCAAGUCCGCCGCGGCUUAUUCCUAACAAUGUAAGGGGGUGAUCUCUAAAACUGUGUCUUGCACCUUCAAGUCACCGCGCACCAACGUCACGAUGCCGGAGGUCGUGAUCGGUUUUUCCCCGCUCCCGAAGACCCGAACUCAUGUUCUCCCUGAUGCGAUGGGCUGGGGAAGAUGUGUUGUCUUAUCGGCUUUGCCAGCGGUUCCGUAUCUCUUGCAGGGGUUAUAUUAAUACUCCCUUCAUUCCCUUAUACAAAGCCACUUCGUUCUCUUGUCAAACUUUGACUUAUAUUUUUUGUCAACAAAAUAUAAAUUAUAUAAUAAAUAAUAUGUCAUUGGAGAGUUCUUUGAAAUGUGCAUACAAUGACGUAUUUUUCAUGGCAUAUAACUCAAUAUUUGUCGGUAAAAUUAAUAGUCAAAAUAGAUAUAAAAAUAUGAAGUGGCCUUGCAUAAGGGAAUGGAAGGAGUAUUAAUAUAUCCUGCUGAUGCACAUUUGACGAUUACUAGAAACUCUAAAUCCUCUGAGAAGCUUUGGAAUAGAACUUCUGAUGCAGCCACACCACGCCUUGCUGGCCUCAUUGAAUUAAGUAUCGAAUUGUGUGCUGAUCUGACCGGCACACCUAAGUAUCGAAUUGUGUGGUGAACUUCCCACCAACAAGUCUUGUUGCCACAUUAGAUUUUUCCUUUCAAAAAGGAGGUUUUGACCCCUGGUCUCUUCAUCCAAAUAUGCACAUAACCAUCUUUAUUAUAUUAUUAAACAAAAUCAGACAAAACAAAUAUAUGGAUCAACCAAAGUGACCUUUCUCACGACCUCUGUUGCUACACCUACAAGCUUGAUUUUUUGUCCUGACCUUGCACCCAACGCACACCAGCUAAUUCGGUGACCUCACCAUGCCACCCAACAGUGAGCAGAGAGCACCAGCCGGUCUAGGAGACCCUCAGUGUGCUCGCAUGUGCACACUCUGGAAUUCGUUGCUGCCAUAUUCUGUUGUCCCACGUUCAGGACGGAUCAACGCAUUCACCUUGCUAGGUCUUCCAAUCGUCUGACGACAUGAGCCACCCAUCCUUAUUUCCAGCAUGAGCCGUGAGCCACCCAUUUUUCUUUCUUUCAAAUGUCACGAUCCCUUCUCUCUACUUCUUCCCUCCGCACAUGUUUCCUCAGUCUCCGCCAUGAGCAAUGCGGCUCAAGCACCCCUACGAUGCUCCAAUCGAGGAUGCACAUGUUGGAGGUUGUGUUGCAAUGCAACAGUUGUUGAUGCCACCGGAGCUGCGAUGCAAUGGUCGCCGACCCCUCUGGAGGUGUGAUGCAGCGGUAGUGAAGUCGCCGGAGCUACUAUGCAGCGGUCGUCGAAGCCGAUGCGUCGAAGCUAGCAUGCAGUGGCCGCUAAGCCGCGGGAGCUGCUAUGUAGCGAGCGUUGAUGUCGAUGCACUGAAGCUGCAAUGCAGUGGCCGCGAAGCCACCAGAGAUCCUAUGCAGCGGCUGCGGGAGCUACGAUGACACCGUCAUCAUCGACGCCGGAGUUGAAAUGCAGUGGUUGCGACGCCGUAGAGAGAAAGCGACACAGCGGUGCGGCGUGAGCAAGGUUGUUCUCGGUGCUUCCAUGCAGCGGUCGUCAGCCUCUGUUGUAGUGUUGUGAUGUAGCAUCGGCGGCUUCCCUGGUGGAUGCUUCGAGAGGAGGAUGCAAAGUGAGAAGAGGAAGACGCUCUGCUGCUAUCUAACAGCCACACAUCUGAAUCAAAUGGCUGCGAAGGCGGCUGAUCUUUUCUAAAAUCAUCCUGCUGAGUUGUACCAGCCGCCAUUUUCUAAUUAGAAUGAAGUUUACGCCAUGUGAUACAUCUGGUACAAAAUCCAAAUAAUUCAAAAAAUAAAAUUAGGAUGGCGUUUACAACAGCCACGAGCGAAGCCAUGUCCACUACAAAAUUAUUACACGUCAAAACUGUAGGCUUUCGUAAAACCAAGCUAAAGCAGAGCGCUAGUCUAAUCAUUAUUUUCUUUAUGCAUCACAAAUGAAUGAUAUGUUCAUACAGCUUGAACAGGACGAAGGCACCAUUGUGGGCCAUGACAAUCUGAAAGCGUAUAUUUCCAACUAUUAUAAAAACCUUUUUGGACCCCCCAAUACUUCCACGGUGUCUCUUGAUGAGUCUGUGAUCGAUGAUAUACCUCAAUUGCAGGCAGCAGAGAACGAUGUUCUCUCUGCACCGUUUACUGAAAAGGAAGUGCAUCUGGGCAUAACCCAAAUGAAGCCGAAUAAAGCACCGGGACCAGAUGGGUUUCCAGCUGAAAUCUAUAAGAAAUGUUGGCAUAUCAUUAAAGAUGAUCUUAUGCCUAUGUUUCAUGACUUUUUUUAUGGCCAUUUGGAGUUGUUUCACCUCAACUUUGGUACGAUAAAUGUUGUUACCUAAGAAGAAUGAGGCGGUUCGGAUCGAACAAUUCCGUCCCAUUUGCCUGCUGAAUGUGAGUUUUAAAAUUUUCACAAAGGUAGGGACCAAUAGAUUGACACAAAUUGCUCACUCAGUGGUUCAACCUAAUCAAACAGCUUUCAUGCUGGGACGACACAUACUAGAAGGUGUGGUCGUCUUGCAUGAAACUCUUCAUGAGAUUCACUCGAAGAAACUAGACGGGGUUAUCUUCAAAGUGGAUUUCGAGAAGGCUUAUGAUAAAGUAAAAUGGCCUUUUCUUCAACAGGCAAUGCGUAUGAAGGGUUUUAGUGAAACCUGGAGGAACCAAGUAGAUACUCAAGUCCAGAAGGGUAGUGUCAGAAUUAAGGUGAACGAUGACAUCAGUCACUACUUCCAGACGCAUAAGGGGUUGAGACAAGGGGAUUCCAUGUCACCUCUUCUGUUCAAUAUUGUGGCAGAUAUGUUGGCCGUCAUUAUUGGCAGGGCUAAGCAGCAUGAUCAUGUAGAGGGUCUAGUUCCUCAUCUAGUAGAUGGAGGGGUGUCCAUUCUACAAUAUGCUGAUGAUACUAUUCUUUUCAUGGAACAUGACUUGGCUAAGGCACGAAACAUGAAACUUAUCUUAUGUCUUUUCGAACAAUUGUCUGGCUUAAAAAUUAAUUUUCAUGAGAGCGAGGUGUUCUGCUUUGGGAAAGCCAAAGACGAGGAACAUACAUACAGACAAUUGUUUGGAUGUGAUUUACGUGCUUUACCAUUCACUUAUUUGGGUAUUCCGAUUCAUCACCGUAAGCUGUCCAAUAAAGAAUGGAAAUGUAUUGAAGAACGAAUUGAAAAAAAACUCAGCUGCUGGAAGGGCAAGCUGAUGUCAUAUGGCGGUCGGCUAGUUUUGAUUAACUCAGUUCUGACCAGCAUGCCAAUGUUUUUACUUUCGUUCUUCGAAAUUCCGAAAGGGGUCCGGAAGCGACUUGAUUUCUUUAGAUCUCGUUUCUUUUGGUAGUCUGAUGAGGCCAAGAGGAAAUACCGCCUCGCACGAUGUGGAUAUCCUGUGUAGACCAAAAGAUCAAGGGGGGCUUGGUAUUGAGAACUUAGAAAUUAAGAAUAAAUGCCUUAUGAGCAAAUGGUUAUACAGGUUAGAGACAGAGCCGGAGGGCAUGUGGUCUCAAAUCCUGCGUAAUAAGUAUUUGCACACGAAAACGCUUGCCCAGGCUAUCAUCAGACCCACUGAUUCGCCGUUCUGGAAGGGACUCAUGAGAGCGAAGGACAUGUUCUUUCGUAGGGUCAAAUUCUUGGUUGGCAACGGGAUGUCAACAAGAUUUUGGGAGGAUACGUGGCUAGGAGAGACGCCUCUGGUCUAACAAUAUCCUACCCUCUACAAAUAUUGUGCAACGUAAGGAGGAGUACGUAGGUAUAGUCCUUCAAACUAUCCCCUUGAAUAUCCAGUUCAGACGUAUGUUAGUGGGUGAGAGGUGGACAGCCUGGAUGCACUUGGUUCGGAGGUUGAUUGAAGUUCGACUCUCCGACAUGCCGGACUCAACAAAAUGGAAGUUAACUAAAAGUGGGAUAUUUACAGUGAAAUCUUUUUAUACGGAUUUGAUUAAUUCUGGCCCCCUCUCAAGGUCUUUGCCUAUUUGGAAGGUUAGAGUUCCUUUGCGGAUUAAAAUCUUUAUGUGGUUUGUUCACAAGCAAGUUAUUCUCACAAAGGACAACCUUCUUAAGAGGCGAUGGGUAGGAAACUCGCGUUGUUGUUUUUGUGCUCAGGAUGAGACAAUACAACAUUUAUUUAUUGAAUGCCCACUUGCCAAGUUACUUUGGAGAACGAUCCGGUAGAUAUUGCGUCUAUGUUUGGGACGUGGUUAGCUGGGAUUGAACAGAACAUGGCAGCUCGUAUUCGGAUUGGAAUAUGCGCGCUAUUAUGGGCCAUAUAGAACUGCAGAAAUGAUAUGAUUUUUAACAGGCGACACAACUUAACUUUUUUGCAGGUUAUCUUCAGAGCUACAGCUUGGAUCUGUACGUGGUCCUUACUCACUCCUAUGGACUCCAGGGAGCCUUUGGUUACUGGGUGCAACCAAUGGGAGAUGGUGGCUCGGGGUAUAUUCAACCGGUUCGGAUGGCGUUCACAUAAUAGGAUAGGAGUCUAGAGAGCUUAUCCUUAUUUUUAUCGUUUCGGUUGUCUUUGCCUGCUUGUAUUUUUCUAGUUUUUUGUUUUCUGUUUUGCUCCGUUUGCGAGUUGUAAGACAAUCAUGACGUUACUUUCUGGUUUUUAAUAAGAGGGCCGUAUGCUUCAUCAUGAUGCAGAGGCCAGGGGCAUGCCUCCAUUUCCAAAAAAAAUGAAUGAUAUGUUUGAAUCCCCCCUUGAGUAAAAAGUUUAGAGCACAUUAGUCUAAUCUGGCUACACAUGUUACCUUCACGUAACUUGGACCAAUGGAACAUCUGGAGAAUGUCGCUGAUUCACCUUACUCAGCUCCACUGGAAGCACCCGUAUGCCCGUGUCUUCAUGCGGUCAGCGCACCACUCUCCUUCAACGCUUCAAGAGUACCACACCCGCGUUUGUCGCCUCGCCAACCGCCUAUCUAGCUGCGCUGCCGAUCAGGCCAAUGCCUCUGGUCUGAGCUUCGUCGAAAGCCUUCCAUGUGACUACUUCAGCUAUAUGACUGAGAUCCAGCUCGGCAUGCCGGCAAAGACUCACAAUGUGUUGGUUGAUACCGCAUUGUCCUUGUCUUGGUUUGGAUGCGAGCCUUCAUUGACUGAUGCCCAAGUCCAAUCUUCGAACCCAACACGCCCUCCACGUAUAACAUGGUAGGGUGCAGUUUGGUGCUCUGCAACGUCAUCUUUUUAACCAUUGUGUCCUGCAAAAGUUGCAUCACGCCAUCUCAGCGGUACUCAUACAACCAGACGGUGGUGUCGCCAACACUGGUGAGGCCAGGCCUAGCAUGUGCAGCUCAUACAACCAGACGGUGGUUUUAGGGCUUGUUGUCACUGCUCAACCAUACAUGCCACCACCAGUUUGCCACUACAUUGUUAAUCAAUGCAUUCGAUGACAAGAAUUACACACCUGUUUUCCUUCAUAGCCAGAUUGAAUUCUUGACAUUGUUCGUUUAGGAAAACAACUGGUUUUGAGACCAAUGCCUACAUGCUUUCUUCUGAAGCAAAAUAUAGCUAGCUGGCUUACUACUGGAGUGUAAGGACCGGACACACUUACUUGCGAUGGACUGCAUAUAUACCAGCCACGCAGCUCUAUCAUGUGGUUAUGGGUUUACUAAUGCAUGCCUUCAUGUAAUUCGUUAGAUAAUUGCUAUAUAGGAGUAUUAUUUUUCUCAUGCAUCACAUGUCGGGUCUUGCAUGAGGAAUGCAUGCAUGUAUGCACUAACAUACAUGACUCUAAAUGAAUGGAAGUGUCUGUUGNNNNNNNNNNNNNNNNNNNNNNNNNNNNNNNNNNNNNNNNNNNNNNNNNNNNNNNNNNNNNNNNNNNNNNNNNNNNNNNNNNNNNNNNNNNNNNNNNNNNGGGGGGGGGGGCAUUUUGGCAACCUCUUCUCCCUUCAGACUACUAGCCACCAGCCAGAGAGGUACAUACUAAUUCUUCAAAAGUUAUUAAUACUAGUUUGUCUCUGUCUAGAUGUUUUCCUUCUCUGAUAUGAAUGUUUGCUUGUAAAAUCCUACACCUAAUCUAGCUCUCUAUUAACAUGUCAAAAGUAACUGUUACUCUGUAUAGAAAUAUAAGAGCGCUUGGAUCACUAAAGUAGUGAUCUAAAUGCUCAUAUAUUUCUUUACUCAAAAAGUGCAAGCUACAUUCCUGACUACUAGCUUUAUUAGGAAUUUCUUUGGUUACUUUUUAGUAUCGCUUCUUUGGCAGUCAUAUAUACAGUGAUCCUUACUAUCUUAGAUUACCAAAUAACCAUCCUGCCUUUGGCAGGCAAUGUUUUCUCUCUCGUUCUCUCUCUCAUCAUCACUUGUACAUGCCUCUCGAAGCUCGCUAGAGAUUCUUGAAUAACAACGUGCUAUGUUUUCACAUGGGUGUUCAGGUACGCUAAGAGUAUGUUCUCUAGUCAGAACAACCGAUAUACAAUGAUUAGUUAUGAUUAGAUGCUAGGUCAAACCGAGGGCAGAGGGAGACAAUGAGACCAAGAAAAUAUGUGUGUGCACAGGAUGGUGGUGUCGUGUGUUUCAUUCACCUUGGUCUUCAUCGGAAUUGUAAAAAAAAUCUUGUAUCACACAACCACGCAGGCUCCAGUAAAAGAACACGGAGAACAUGAGGAAACACGGAGAGCAGCAUCCACGUGCACGCGAACCCGAUGUACUCGCUCGGCUCCGCCACCAUCGCGGCGAGCUUGUCGUCGUCCUUCUUGGGAACAGGAUUCUCGACGUCGGCCAUCGAGGGUACCUCCUUCUUUUGCUAGGCUGACCCCCGGUCGACGAUCGAUCGAGCUAGUAGGCAGGUGCGUCGAUGAUGAGAUCACGCGAGAGCAGAGAUAUGCUCUUGUAUGUGCAGGUGCAGUGUGCUACUCCUGUCCGUGCUCUGCUGCAGCCGCCGAAUUUUGGUCCCAGUUGGAGUCCUUCCAUUGGAUAUAUUGUACCGUACUGGCGUCGACUUGGCUGAUCCAGUCGAGUGGUUCGAUUCGGUUCCAGCACGGACAGCCCUCCCUCCUCCUGUCUCAAUUGAAGUCAACCUUACUAUACUCGCUUGUAGGAGAUCAUCGGUCAGAAGGGCGUUCUUUCGCUAGAAAACAAGAGUUUGAAGAUCACCCAACCCACGAAAAGGUCAGAACUCUCGAUCUAGCCCCACUUUCGAUAGCAAUUUAUCGACAUGUUGUUUCGAAUGUACUUGACUGAUGUUGACUUGCGUUUUUUUUUUUUGCGGGAUGAUGUUUUUUUCAAAUAAACAUCACACUUUAUUGAUUAGAAAUAACAGUUACAUCGUCAAAAAGAAAUGAUACAAUGUCAUCCAUAGGCUCCUCACGCCAAUCCUUAGUCUCGGAAAAUUUCGCUAAUCUAGUAUGUUCAUGAGCAACCUUAUUUGCAUCCCUAUUAUAAUGGGCAGCACUACGCGCUGGUGCGCCGGUCCAAAUUUGGGCCGGUCCGCAGGCAGCCGUACGAUCCAGCAUACAACUGCCGGAAAAUUUGCUUUCGUGCUCAUCUUAUCUACAAUGUGAUUCGGAUGUACAGAAACAUGACCAUCACUGAAAAUUUGGUGAUUUGAAGAUUUAGCACCAGUUGUUCUUUCCCGGUCCCUGCAAUGCAAAAGAUGAUGUUAGGCAAAAAUAUUUACCUACAAUCAAUGAACUUUUACUAUUGGUAGAUCUGUUUUGUGCUCAUCUCUACUACAAUGUGAAAUGAAUGUACAGGUACUAAAAAUUCAACAAUUGUUGUUAAACGACUAAGCAUAUGUUGUUCUUUCCAGGUCCCUGCAAUUUAAAAUGUGGUGCAAGGCCGUGAUGCGUAGCUACAACUGAAGAUUUCCCCCAAAAUUGUAUGGGAUGACCUUUCUCAUUCAAUCAGUGCACAGUUAAAAUAUGUUGGUAUUGGUGAACUACAUGGCGGGUUAUUGUCGCAAAUCCAUUGAUGUAUGAAAUCUCAGUAAUUGCAUAAUGCACAUGGUUCUUCUUUGAAUCUAGGAUAUGAUUUUAUUUUUCUAUGGUGAUAAUCAUUAGAACAUGCUCAAUUUUUCAUUUUGACACAUUUAGUUCUUGCAUAUUGUUUUCUAUUAUAAAUUGCCUGCUUUGAGAUACUCACCAACUUCUCUUCUGUGUGUUGCACUUACAAAAUUUUGGUCUAGAAAGAUUUGCAUGAUCUCCAAUUGCCUCUAAAAGUGCUCUACUUCAAAGUUGUUUACUCUACUCUCUUGAGUCGGGAAAAUUUACUUCAGUUCAAAAGUUGUCUUCCAUGCUUUAUAGAGCUACCAUAUUAUUCGUACCAAAGUUGUCAUGGCAACUUCGACAUCGAUAUUGUGACAACAUUGGUAGUGGCAAGUUUAUCAAAAACCGAAUGGCAACUUUUAUGAUGAUUUUUCUUUUACUGAAACGUAGUCAUAUGGGUCUAGAUUGUCAAUCAGGCGGUUUAAGCUACUAAACACUUCUAAUCAUGUAUGAACACAAAACCCGUGAAACGUGCAUGCCUUGUUGAAUUUGAUUUAUUACUUCUUGCAUGCUAUUAGGGAAUUAGAAAAUUGACUUCUAUGACCACAAAGUGCAUACAGUACAUGCAACAUGAUGGAUCGGAUGGCAAGCACUGUGGCAGCAGGCGAAAGAGAUGGUGCGGAAGUUCGUUCUCAAUAUCCAAAAGGAUGUGUGAUUUCCUCAUGUUUAUUGGAUAUUGACUUGAAAAAUCAAGUGUUUGGCUUGAAUCUAACAUUUGCUUGUUUGGUUUGAGAUUUCAAAUCAACUCGAACAAUGCAGAAGAUAUUACAUAAACCGAAUAAACAAAACUACAUUUUCUUUUUAUUUCUUCAGUGGUCAAUGGUUGACCGGUCAAUAAUUGACCAGUACACAGUUCAAUCGUUGCCUUUUAAAAAGUACGAAGUUUUUUAAAUAUCCAGUUUUCUGUUGGAAAUUUUGAAAACAAAUAGUGAAUUGAAAAAUGUUUACGGAUUCUUAAAAAUAUAUCAUAAAUUUGAAAAGGUGCCCCGAAUUGGAAAAAUGUUCAACAAUUUUGAAAUAAAAAUCACUAACUUGCAAAAAAGUUCAUCAAUUUCGAAACGGAAAUUAAAACUUUGGAAAAUGUUCAUCCAUUUUGAAAAACUUCUCAUAUUUCAAAUUUGGGAAAAAGUUCAUCAAAUUUGGAAAACAUCUAUGUAAUCAGUCCUUGUGAGCUGGUUAUCGCGUCUAACAUUGAACUGGCACGUGGUGAUUAAAAUCCCACCUCGUUCGCAUUUUUGCAGUUCAAAGAAAAAGUGUGAAAUUGGCCAGGCCAAAGUGACGAGGGGGAUCCGGUAAAUGCCAGCCAUUAGCCACAUGCGCUCAUUGUUCACAUGCCAUGCACCAUGUUUUGCCUUUUUUUAAAUGCUUAAUACAAAAAUUCAAAUAAAGUUACCUUUUUAAAAGUGUUCAUCACACAUAACAAAAUUCGCUCUAUGCAAAAAAAAGAUCAGUCAACUUAUAGAAAAUAUUUGUACCAUUCAAAAUAAUAUUCGUGAUACUCUUUACAAAUGUUUAUAAAAUUUUAAAUAAAACAUUAGCAUAAUUCUAUAAAAUUGUUUCAUGUCAUCAAAAUAAUUUACACUGAAUUCAAAACAUUAUCUCACAUUUAUAAAAAUAUGUUCAUAAUUUUUUGAAGUGUUUAUAAAUUGAAUGACAAAUAUUCCUGUACUUAAAAAAUGUUUUGUUACAUAGACAAUAUAUACAACGUGUAUUUCAAAAGUGUUAAUCAUGUAUCUUUUUGAUGAGAUUGCUGGUGAUCUAUUUGAAAAAAAAUUCAAAGAUUAUAAAAUUGUUCCAAUGUAUAUGGAAUAUGUACAAAUUGUAUUAGAAAUUUUGUUACCAUGUAUUAAAAAAUGUUCAAAACAUGUAUUGCAAAAACAUUAAUCGUGUGUUCAAGAUGUAUACGAAAAAAGUACAAUGUGUUUUGAAUUUUUUAACACGUAUCCUAAUAAAUAUUAAUCAAUUAUUAAAAAUAUUCAACAUGUAAGAUUGUUCCCUAUGUAUACAAAAAACGCUCGCCAUGUAUUUGAAAAGUAUUAACACGUAUUAAAAAAUUCAAUUUUCAUAUACAAAAAGGCUAAUAUAUAUUUGAAAAAUGUUCAACGUGUAUAAAAAAGUUUUGCAAGUCAUACAAAAAAUAUACAACAUGUAUUUGACAAAAGUAGAAAGAAAACCUUGAAGAAACCCGUAAAUGGAACACAAAAAACCGAAUCCCAGAAGAAAAAUAGGGUAAAAACUAACUGAGAAAUCAAAGAGAAAAAAACCCGCACAGAAACUGCUGUCGAGGAACCUGUAUCUUGCUGUCCCAUCUAUUACUCGCCUAAUGUGGAAUUGUUUCACAUUAGGUUAGAUUUAACCCUUGAGCACAUGGCCUACUUCUGGCUAGGACGAACACAUUAGUUUGGACCCCAAUUAAAUGCCCCUGGACUUUGAGGACCCCGUGCAUUCAAACAUGCCCAUCAGCGUCUCUGAUGAUGCUGAUGGGAGGUGAAGGGAAUCUGUUGCUUCUAUUCCCAUCCAAUGCGAGAAAUCCCUCUCAAGUCUAUGGUGCUGACAAGUGGCAAAAAAUCCACUCGACCCUCGACCUUGCCCUUGCUGGUGAGACGGGCCAACUGCUUGGACUUGGCCAUGCCCAAUUUGAGGCACUGGUUACUGGUGUCCCAAAAACAAAUGUCUUAUAAUUUCAUGACUGCAAUUAGUACUAGCUAGGCGUCCCACCAAUUGCUCGUUGGUGUAGUACUUUAUUUGUUGUGGAUUGUAGUUUAACACUGAGGUGUAAAGAAAUAAGUAUUUGGAGAGAUGGAUACUAACUUUUCAGUAUAGAUUCUAAAAAGAACAAGCUUUUCGUUACGACAUUGCUAUGUAUAUAAGGUAGGUUAGCUUAAUGGUAUUUAAUUCCACCAUGUUCAUCAUACAUCCUUAGACACUAUGUGUGAUACUAUCACACAAGAGUCAGUCGUCCAAUCAAUGAACCUUACUGUCAUGUGGCGUUACCUCGGUUAUUAAAAAUAAUUAUUUAGACAAAAGCAUUAGACAUUUAAUGACAACACCUCAUAUUUCCCCUAAUGAAUUUCUUUCUGCUACUAUACUAAAUCUUUCUGUCGCUGGUAUUCACAAUCGCGUUCCAUGCAUCCUUGCUUCUUACCUCCUCCCUGAUCGAUCUACAGCAUCCUGGAUGCCUGCAGGGCCUUAGAAAGUAGAAUACAAAAGAAAACCCCGAUGAAAUCUAUUACAUAUAAAAAGUAAUUGACGGGUUCACCAGAAAAAAGGGAAAUAUGCUAAGAAAUCUCAUGAAAAACAGAAACAUCAGACCGUCUAUUAAAUAGACUAAAAUUUUAUAACCAUCAGAUCAGUUUUUAGUAUAAAAAUUACCCACCACUUCCAUUAUUAUAAGAAGAAAAUCGUUUCAUGCAUCCCGUUAUUAGGACGUGGGCACAAGUCAAAAGUGGGUUGUUUUUUCUAAAGGGAAGUGCCAUCCACCUAGGCCUUUUAUAAUAAAAAAAAACUUUUGGGCAUUAGCUUAUAGAAAGAAGGGACAUGGGCUGAUGUUUAUUAGAAAAAUAGGGCGUGCGCACAUUGUCCCUUUAAAGAAAGAGUAUGUGCUUUAUUUCUGUGAAAACUAGAUGUCGGUUCAUGCGUCCCACAAAAAAGGGAGACCAUGCAUGCGGUAUAUGCGCGUAUCAAAAAUUCCAGUAUUUCUAUAAAAUAUUAGAUGAAUGGAAAUUAGGAACUAUAAGAAAACUAUGAAAUUCAAAAUUCUAUGUAACUUCUUAUGUUUGUUGUGUUCCACAAAAAAAAAAGA